rnacentral:lncRNA from 1 species
ACUUGCAAUUUUUCAUAAAGAAUUCGGCACUUGAAUGUGUGACAAUCCAUGGAAGGUCUGAUUAGUUACAUCAAAGAAUACACAAACCCAAUCGUAAUACAAAUGAAGAUUGAAUAAAAACAACAUGUACCAUCAAAUCAAUAAUCCAAGCAUGGGGAACGAAUCCUCUGACCAAACACACCACACAAGCAAAGCAAACACACACCGCAUAAUAUGUACGUGCACGGGACUCCCCGUCGCGCGGCCCUGCACCAGCACCACGUACCUACCACUCAGAUGUGCACGUGGCAGUACACCCGGUCGAAGGAGCUGGGCGAGGCGAAGUCGACGGGCACCAGCGGGCAGCUCGCGCGCAUCUUGUACCGCCGCGUCCUCACCAGGCCGUACUUGAACCACACCUUGCCCCGGACGUGCACGUCCAGCGGCAGCGUCCCGGCGGACCGGUCCUUCUUCAUCUCCCGCUCCACGUCCCGCGGCACCGGCUCCCGCGCCGCGGGGGCCGCCACCACGAUCCUCGUCUCGUUGCGCGGCGGCUGGCGGAACCCCGGCACCUCGGCGCCGCCCAGGUACGUGUCGCCGUACCACACGCCGACGUCGAGCGAGCGGUACACGGCGGUGCGCUUGUUGGGGUUGUAGGCGCGGAGGACGAGGGCGAAGGUGCCCUGCAGCGCGCCCCCCGACGUGAAGUUGAAGCCGCGGACCGCCGCGUGGUCGACGGAGAGCUGCAGCUUCCCGGGCCGGACCGCCAGCCAGAUGAUGACGAUGAUGGCGACCACGACGAGCAGCGCGAACAGCGUCGCCGCGAUGCACUGCCCCGGCGUCGGGCGCGUGCGCCGCGUCGCGCUCAGUGGCCCCGCCAUUGAUCCCUUCCUUCCUUCGCCCCGGAGCUCAAGACGACGCACUGCUUGAGCUAGCUAGGUUCUGUGGGAGAGAGAGGUGCUCUGUCUUGGCUUGCUGGAAACGGAUUGCGUCGCCGCGUCUCUAUAUAGUGAGCUGCGGGGCGAUGCUUUGAGUGGCGAGGAGAGGUUUCUGCGAGGUGUCACAGCCUGUGGUUGGAGUAUACGUAGCAGGCGGUUUUGGUACGUUUUGCAUGCGACGAGCCGCCGGCCGUGGCGGUGGUGCAACCAGUUCUUUUCUUUCACAGGCAGCGGUCAAUUCGCCGUGGGCUCUAGAGUUUGGGCGGAGCUUUGGUUUUGGAAUCCUUCUGGCUCACUCCUACGUAGGAAUCGAUGCGCGGCAAGGAAGGGAAAGCAUAUUGACAGCCCACGAAUGGUGCGCUCACAUCACAUGUGGAGCUUUUUUUACUUUUGGAUCAAAAGACGGGGGUUUACGGAAGAACCCAAGAAUGCGGAGGACUCCGGAGAAAGGUCUCGCGCCUUCUUGAGUUUUUUUUUUGAACAUUGGCAGUAGAGCAGCCAAAAUCAUUGAUCAGAAGAAUCGCUACAAGAACCCAACAAUGAUGAAUAUUUACUUUUAUACAUGAUAUGUAUAUUUUAUUUGAAAUAUAUGAACAUUCAUAAUGAUGUGUAUGAGCAUAUCCCAUUGUUUGCAAUAUAUGAAUAUUUUUCAUUAUUUAAAUGGAUUAUGGUCAUAUGUUUAGAUGAUAUAGGUUGUAAUAAGAUCAUAUGGGAUGAAGGAAGUAUUAAAUAACCACAUAUUUCUAGAAAUGUAUAAAAAAUAUAUAUAAUGUGGGUUGUACUAGUGGCUAGGCUAUAUAGGAGCUCUUGAGGCGAUUUGUUUCAUGUCCUUUGCUAAAGUCUAAAUUUGAAAGAAAAAAAAUAGGAGCACUCAGAUUAGCAAAAUGGCUGAAAGUGGCGCUUACAGCUGCGUUUACAUGGAAGUCCAGGGCACCUAACCAGUGCCGCUUCUUUGCAUGGCUUGCCAUCAAGGACGACGUCCGACAAAUUAGCAAGGAAAGGACUACCGCACCAAAGCGGCUGCCCGUUGUGUGACCAACAUGAGGAGACCAUGAAUCACAUCAUGCUUGGUUGUGUCUUUGUUCAAGAGACCUGGACACGGAUUUGCAAGACUAUGGGAAAGUCGGAAAGGGCCCCACUAUCGCAAGAGACACUACCUGACUGGUGCAUCAGGCACGAAGAGAGUGGAGAGCAUCGGAAGGCGGUGAGGGCCAUGUGCCUCCUCGCCUUGUGGGAAAUUUGGAAACACCGCAAUGUCAUGGUGUUCGACGGAGCUAUGCCUUCCACACGACAGGUUUUACAUCGAUUUGUUGAUGAGGGACGAAUACGGAUUCAGGCAGGCCUACUACGCGGUGUAGCUGAGGGGUUCUUCAACAAGGUGGCAACAUGGGCGAGUAGUGAGUAGUCUGCAUAGGACAAUUAUUAUGAUGGAGGUGGCCGUUAGGUCACUUGUAAUUAAACUGUAACCGAGAUCACGGAGGAAGACUUCCCUAUCCUUUUUAAUAUAUGAUACGUACACUCAUGCGUAUUUAAGAAAAAAAAGAAUGAGUCUUCGCUUUAUGAACCGCUAAGGAACAAUCAAUUUGACAACCAGCUUAUUAGUUUGAGCCCACAAUCAGAUUUUUCUCCUUAGAAUCAAGCAGGUUAUGCGUCCAAUUUGUUUGAGCAAACUCGGUGCAGUUAAAUACUUCCUAUGUCCCAUAAUGUAACAUGUUUUUGCAAGUAGUUUGAAAAAAUGUUUUACAUUAUGGGACGAAAAGGAGUACUUUUCAUGUUUCUGUUUUUUUAAGUUUCUUGUUUAUUCUUUUCAUCAGCUUCCAAAACAUCACGAAGUGUACACAACCCACCUUAAUGGCCCAGUUUAUUAAUAAACAUGUUAGGGGGCGAGUGAGGUGUUUUGCUUGCCAAAAUUAACACGCUUCGAAGUUCCAAAAUAAAAUGUAAGCAUAUAUGUAUGUGUGUGGCCCCAGAUAAAAAAUAUUGCUUUCAGAAAUUUUAGACAAAUAUUUUAGUGGCAGCGUAUAUGUAUGCUUUUUAUGGAAGGGCGUAUAUGUACGAACUCACUAGUUAAGUAACCCCUUGCAAAGGUUAUUCCCUACCUUCUCAGGCGUUGACAAGUGGUGCACUGCAUGUCGAAAUCUUACAAACCGUGCGUUCAAAUCUUGAUCCGUUUCAUCAUUAAAUUUCUCGCGUUGAGAUCUUCGAAGUUAAACCCAUGUUAAUAGGUUUCACAAACUUUUUUCAGGUAAAAAGAAAACGAGAAAUCAAAAAAGUACAAAAAAACAAAAACUGGUAAAACAAAAACAAAAAAGGUAAAAAAGAAUAACAUUAAAAAAACCAGAGUCCGGAAAUAAGGUUGCAGUUUUCACGUAUUUUUUGCAUUUACGAGAAGCACAAACUUAUUUUUUCCCUAAAAGCACAUUUGCGCUUCUCGUGGGAGAAAUCUGUGCUUCCACACGAAGCGGAAGCAUAUUUUUUUCCUUUUUGAGAAGCACAACUCUGCUUCUCGUAGAAGCAAAUCUAUACAUCCAUGAAAAGCAAAUCUAUACUUUUUGUGGAACCAUAGUUUUUUUUCCUUUUUGAGAAGCAUAGGUGUGCUUUCUCAAAAGCAAAUCUGUGCUUGUGUGAAAAGCUAAUUUGUGCUUUUUUUUUCUCCAAAACCUGGAAAAACUCAAACGAACAAAAAAUCAAAAAGCAAGAAAAUCAUCAAAAACAUGAAAACAUGUGCAAAAAGAUAAAAUUAAAAUUCAGAGGGGCGCCAAACAUGGGACACAUGGCGGCGGCUAGCCGUAUCACUUGGCGCACUUGCAUGCCAAGAAAGUGAACCUUGCAGGCAGAUCCUAUUUGACGCUCGUUAGCUUCAAAAUGUAGUGGCUUCGCUAAAGCUCUUCCUCUCGACGCCCCGGUUUGGGCCGGCUCACGGUCGCUUCGUUGUUUCUUAUCUUUUCUGUUUCCUUUUUCUGUUUCUGUUUCUGUUUCUAUUUCUAUUUCUAUUUCUAUUUUAUUUUAUUUUACUUUUUACUUUUCUGUUUAUUUUUUUCGUGUAAUAUACAUAGUUCAUUAAGUGUUACAAAAAUGUUCAUUAAAUAUUAAGAAAAUAUUCACGGUAUACUACAAGAAGUUCACCAUGCAUUAUAAAAAUGUUUAUUGUAUAUUAGAAAUUGCUCCUCGAAUAAUACAAAUGUUAAGUUUGUUUUUGAAAUUUGUUCAUACUAUGUUACACAAAUGUAUAAUGUGUAUUAAUAAUUUGUUCAAAGUAUACUACUCCCUCCAUCCCAAAAUAAGUGACUCAAAUUUGUAUUAACUUUGUACAAAUUUGAGUCACUUAUUUUGGGACAGAGGGAGUACAAAAUUUUCAGUGAAUAUUUGAAAAAAUUUCAACAUACACAUUAAUAUUUUUCUAAUAUGUUCAUCAUAUAUUAAAAAAAUCAUCGUAUAAUAUGAAAUGUUCAUUAUGUAUUAUUAAAAUGUUGAUUGUAUGUUUAGAAGAUGUUCAGUGUGUGUUUUGAAAUAAUGUUCACUAUAUAUAAAAAUUUGUUUAUACCACAGAAAUUUCUAAAAAAAAAGUGAAAAAAAUAACGUGAAAAAACAUUUUUCUUAGAAAAGACCAUCAUGACUACUACCUCUCUCUCAGUUUACAGGGCGUGCGCGUACUCUUAGGUCAUCAAUUUGACCAACCUAAUACAAGUCAUAUAUUACAAAAAAUAUACCAAUAUAAACUUCAGAUGUUCUAUUUUCAAACGAUAUAAUUUUUGUGUUAUAUAGUUUACAUUAGGAUGAUAAAAUUGACAACCUAGAUAUACGCGUAGAACUUGUAAACUGAAACGGAGGUAGUAGCUUUAUUUAUCUGAAGUAAUAGAUACAUCAUCUACAAACUUAAUGACCAACACAUCAGGAGGCUCGUGCAUCCAAACCAAAGAAAGCUUAUUGCAAUAACUAUAAUUUGCUAGCACAUGCACUGCUUGACGAUCUAUAAUACUCCUUCCUUUUUUAUAUACAAGGCAACAAAUCCAUAUUACAGGUACCAAGAUAGAAAUUAAUGGCUACUUAAACCAAUAUUGCAAAUUAGUCUUUUCUCCUUGCUUGACGUGUUAAUUAAUGUGUAUUUUUCUCUCAACACAUAAAAAGACAACUCUCUCACUCCUCGUUGGUUGAUUAAUAUGGUGCAUGCAAAUCAAUUUUUCUCACUCCCGCAUGCAUGCAUGAGGUAUUAAUGUCUUUGGUUGCUAGUACGAUGCAAACCUCAUCAAUUUUACAUCGACUGUGUUAGUGGCCUUGUAUAGCUGCAAAUUGUAAUUUUGAUAAUGGCUUUGUAUACAAAAAUGGAGGGAGUAGUGCUUAUAGACAUUCUUCCCAAUUGACAUAGUUGUAUCCACACACUCAUUGUUGCCGCUGCAUCCCACCAUUUGGUAUGACCGGUACAAAAAAUAAUCACUUGCAAGGAAUUAAUGACCAAAAACGGGCCACUACAGUAAACGGACUACUAAAGUGUACAUUUAGAUUGCUACAGUAACCAUAUCUUAGUCCAGUACAAUAACGCUUGUUGGGCAGGCCCAAUGCACCCGACCCUGUGCUUUGCCUCCGUUGUUUGACACCUGCGGGCGUCGAACAUGAGGUCUCCUUGCGGGGCUCCAGGUGACAUGGGUUCUUUUUUUUUUUAACAAACAUAUUUUAUUAAGUUAGGAGCAUUUUACUGAGACAAGCAUGAAAGGAAACACGCUGGAUACAGAAAGGUUUCCCUGACUGAACAAAGACCUGCAUCAAAAUAUAAGCAAUGAAAUAAUACAGGUCUAUUUUGGACUUUCAAAGGUAGGCGUGCAAGAUGAUGGGCCUUGACGUUGUUCUCCCUGUAGAUGUGAGCAACUUUUUAUGCUGGAAAGAAGGACUAUUUUGUAUUUGAGCAAGUAGCGGCCUGUUGUCCCAAGGACCAGAAGCAGAGAGAAUGUUCGUCGUUUUUGCUGUCAAAGCUAACACCGAGCAAUCUGUGAAGAAGGGAGGAUCCUGAAUAUUGAGUAUGUAUGCCAGCCAGCUUGGUUGCAAGCAUAAGACCAAAAGUCUCGGCUUGAAGAGGAGAAGAAGCAGGAGGGGACAUUGUGGCAAUGUGAAUUUGCUGUAUGCGAUCGUCAUUUUGGACCUGGAUAAAGACUUCAAUUCUUGCCUGAUUAGAAGUGUUGGCUGGUCGUAUUUUCCAUCCAGCGUCACAGAAGAUUGUGUUGCCUGUAAAAGAGUCCGGAUUUUUUAUCACUGGUUGCACCAGUUGGUCCUGUAAGCAAUGCGCACCAUGAUCUUCACUGGGGUUCUCUCCUAAUAUGGUUCUUUGUAUGAUUGCAUUUGCUAUUGCAUACACCUGAAAGGGUCUGCAAUAUUUUGUAGCAAAGAGAACAUCGUUUCGAGACUUCCAAAGGCACCUUUCGAGACUUCCAAAGGCACCACAGAAAAGUAUAUAAGUUAGAAAGAUUAAUAUCUGGAUGACCUAAGUUAAGCAAAGUUUGGAUCAUGUCAGGAAUAGAAUGAUUAGGUAUAGUAAGGAUUUCUAUUUUAAUAAACCAUGGUGAGCAAAACCAGGCUGUUUUAGAGAAAGGGCAAAGGAAAAGCAUGGUGAGCAAUUUUCAUUUAUGUGUUUAGAGGAUUUACUUGCUCUCUUACCCGUAGGAAGCGCUUUCCUAACAAGUCUCCAAGCAAAUGUCUGAACCCGUGGCACCAUGAGUUUGUCUUUCCAAACUUGGUUUAGAAGAGCAAUUGUUUGUGGAUGAACCUCUUUUGGUCGUGUCGUUGCCUACCCGGUAUAGGUGAAGAUUGUUGAAGCAAUGCUUAUAUGCACUUUUGGAGGAGAAAUUUCCUGCAGGUGUUAGUUUCCAAAUUAAAUCAUCUUGCCCAACAGCUACAACUAUAGGAGUCUGAAGAAUAUUAUUAGCUAUCUCAGGAGUGAAGAAAGAGUACAUCAGAUUAGCAUUCCAAGCUUUUUGAUUUGGAAACCAAAGAUCUUUAACAAUAUCAGGAUAUACAUGGGUUUAUUAUGUGACAUUCAGUUAACAUGCCUCAGCUUUAGGUGGUCUCUAUUAUCUCCUAUUUUGGGCUGCUUAACAACUUCUAGUUUACAACAUCUACAACCGGACACCUCAAAACCGCCUCAAACGCCCGAUCACUGAUCGGUCAAAAAAUCGACCCCACUCAGAGGCCUCAACCCGGCCUCAAAAGCCCGGGUUGUCCGGCGCCCGUCAUAUCCAGCCAUAAUGUAGGGUGGAUAUGGGGCGGCCCGGGCGCCCCCGCCACGUCAGCUCGGCCCACCACGACCUCACAAAUAUCCCCUCCGGUGAAACCCUAGACCACAAUCCGCUCAGUCCACUCCACUCUCUCUGUCCACCCCUCUUCCCAAUCCAUCGUUUCCUCUCCGUUUCUAAUCCAUGGCGGAUGACUACAGCAGCUCCAGCUCGGGCGGCGAUGAGAGCAACGUCUAUGAGGUCGCUCUCUGCAUCGCUUCGCGCCGCUCGAGUCUAGAUCAGGGCGACAGCUCAGAGAGCGACAUGUCGUCCCCUUUUGCCCAACGUCGUAGUGCGAGCAAUGUUGCUGGACCCUCCCGUCCGGUGCCCAGCACUGGUGGGAGCGCCGCCCACUCCGCCCCACUCCAGCUACGCCGUCCCCCCGCCACCACAUCCAAUCUACCUCCGAAGGGCGUCCACGGGCACCGUUGGGUGCUUGUGCCCUCGCUGGUGCUGGACCGGUUGAGGAAGCCUGAUUCGGAGGCGCGGGUCAUAUGGCGCGAGCGGCGGUGGGCGACGAGUCAGCGAGGCGCGGGGCAAUUGGGCGUGCACUGGUCUAUCCCAACGAUGCGCUCAUCGUGUCCUGCGGUGCUCCCUCCAUAAGGGAAGGGGGCAGGAAAUGGUGCUUUCCUCCGCCCUCCCCCGUUUAAUCUAGUUUUUUUAUUGUAUGUUUACGUACUGUCCGACUAAAACUACAUAUUUUGGUUGUCCACUAAUCGUCUAUGCUUAAAUUAUGUCCGAUUUAAGUAGAUUUGGUGCUAGUUCAUUGAUCUACGUAUGUUUAUUGUCAUACGUGUAGAUGUUUCAUGGAUAUGAGGGACCAGAUUUGAGAUACACAAAUACGGACGCACCAAAAUGAGAAGUGCCCGGUCAGUGCCCGCGAAUGUGUCUGAAUGCGUCUGCGGGCGUUGGAGGGGUUGGAUUUGGUGUCUUUCGCCUGUAGAUGCUCCCAGGAAUGUAAAAAUUAGGACAUUUUGAGGUGAAUGCACAUACAUUAUAACCAAUUACCAAAGUAGAAACAACAUUUUUGGUGAAUGCACAUGCAUUAUAAACAAGAAACUAGAUGCUGCUUCCCACCAGAGCUAUAUGUCGCCCGUAGCGAUUGCUAAUGUCUAUCGCCUCUAGCGCCAGACCCACUCGCUGCUUGUGGUCUGGCCCAGAAAGGAACACGUUGAGGAGCGAUUUUGGGGAGCAACUAGUUAACGAGCGCUUCUUCGGAAGCCUCGUAACGAUCAACGCCAUUUGGCGCGCUCUAAGCCAUUUGCCACGUGUCGCGCUCUAUACGCUUCCUUCGGAUUUUGUUUUCUUAUUUUUCCGCACGCGUUUUCGGCUUUUUAAACGGUUUUUCCGGGUUUUUUCGACAUUUUGGUUUUCUCCCGGUCUUUCUUAGCUUUUCGAUAAAAAAAAAUUCGAAAAUUUUUUAAGCGAAAAAAUGCGUUUUCUUUUUUUUCUUUCGUAAAAGUCACGGUUUUUCUUCCGCGAGAGGCACGGUUGUGCUUUAGCGAGAGUCACGGCCGUGCCUCUCGGAAACAAAAAAAACACGUUUUCUAUUUUAUUUUCUUUCGCGAGAGUCACGGUUUUGCUGUCCCGAGAGGCACGGUUGUGCUUUCACGAGAGUCACGGCUGUGCCUCUCGGAAAGGGAAAAACAAAACGCGUUUUCUGUUUUUUUUUCGUCCGUGAGAGUCACGGUUUUGCUUCCGCGAGAGGCACGGUUGUGCUUACGCGAAAGUCACNNNNNNNNNNNNNNNNNNNNNNNNNNNNNNNNNNNNNNNNNNNNNNNNNNNNNNNNNNNNNNNNNNNNNNNNNNNNNNNNNNNNNNNNNNNNNNNNNNNNNNNNNNNNNNNNNNNNNNNNNNNNNNNNNNNNNNNNNNNNNNNNNNNNNNNNNNNNNNNNNNNNNNNNNNNNNNNNNNNNNNNNNNNNNNNNNNNNNNNNNNNNNNNNNNNNNNNNNNNNNNNNNNNNNNNNNNNNNNNNNNNNNNNNNNNNNNNNNNNNNNNNNNNNNNNNNNNNNNNNNNNNNNNNNNNNNNNNNNNNNNNNNNNNNNNNNNNNNNNNNNNNNNNNNNNNNNNNNNNNNNNNNNNNNNNNNNNNNNNNNNNNNNNNNNNNNNNNNNNNNNNNNNNNNNNNNNNNNNNNNNNNNNNNNNNNNNNNNNNNNNNNNNNNNNNNNGUGCCUCUUGGAAAGGGAAAAACAAAACGCGUUUUCUGUUUUUUUUUGUUCGUGAGAGUCACGGUUUUGCUUCCGCGAGAGGCACGGUUGUGCUUAUGCGAAAGUCACGGCCGUGCCUCUCGGAAAGGGGGAAAAUACGCGUUUUCUGUUUUUUUUCUUUCGCGAGAGUCACGGUUUUGCUUUCGCGAGAGGCACGGUUGUGCUUUCGCGAGAGUCACGGCCGUGCCUCUUGGAAACGGGAAAAAAUGCGUUUUCUGUUUUUUCCUUACACGAGAGUCACGGUUUUGCUUCAACGAGAGGCACGGUUGUGAUUUUGCGAGAGGCACGAGCGUGCCUCUUUUGGAAAGGGAAAAAAACCGUGCUCCCGGUUCGGUUUUUUCGCCCGGUUUUUUCAUUCGAUUUUUUUCGUGAAAAAAAGGUUCGUCAAAAUCUAUCAACAUGGGAUCUAGUUUUGAAGAUCUCGACGUGAGGAAUCCAAUGGUGAAAACGGUUCGAGAUUUAGACGCACGGUUUAAGAGAUAAAACGUUUUGAAUAAACUGAUCUACGAAAAAAGGGAAAACUCCCAAGUUGCGACAAGUGGCGCGCUGCAUGUGUGCCACUUGUCGCGACCUGGGAAAGUGGAGCGUUCUUUGCAACGAGUACUCCUUAAUUAGUGAUUUCGGCGAUUUUGCAUCGGGUUUUUCUGCGGUCUUCCUCCAUUUCUUCUAUUUUCGUUUUUUCUUUGAUUUUCUUUGUUUAUUUCUCAGUUUUAUUCGGUUUUCUUUGUUUAUUUUAUUGGUUUUCAAUUUUCUUCUUCUUAUUUUUUCAUUUUCUAAUCCAUUUCUAUAUUUUUCAUAUGGAUUGUACAUUUUUCAUACACAACAGGAACAUUUUUUACACAUUUAACCAAAUACAUGAUUAAUAUUUUUUUGAACAUUUUUCUGAAUAUGUGUUAAACAUAUUUUCAUGUACACGUUGGAAUAUGUUUGUGUACUAUGCAAUUUUUUUUCAUUGAAUAAUUUUUUUCUAAAGAUGUCGCAAACAUUUGUUUGAUAUGCGUGAACAUGUUCCUAAAUGUAGCGUAUAUUUAUUUGAAUGGUACAUUUUUUAAUUACACGAACAUCAUUUUUACAUUGUAUGACAUUUUCUUUUCAAAUGCCACAUACAUAUUUUUGAAAUUAGUGAAUAUUUUUGAAAUGUUCAUAGAUUUUUUUAAUGGUAAAAUCAUUUCCUAAAAUUUGAGCCAACAUUUUUUCACUGCUCUUACAUUUUUGUCAGGUGAACCAAGUAUCCUAGUAAGUUAGAUCUCCUCGGGGAAUAUCCAACCUCCAACGAGGCCUCCCCUCUAAAGAUAAUCUCAAUAACAUAAGCAGGAGUAGCGUGUUAUCUCCUCCCGGAGGGCUCGAACCUGGGUAAAAUCUCUCGCCUCCACGUUAGUUUCAUGAAGGAUCUAAUGAUAUUGAUUUUUUAUUGCAAAUGUUGAUAUUUCUUUCUAUAAAGUUGGUCAAACCUUUUGAAGUUUAACUUUAGACAAAUCUUACAUGCGGAGUAAAAAGACUGGGGUACUAGAGAAGAGAGCCAUGCACGUGAGCUUGCCCUUUAUUUAUUACUUGUGGGCUCCAUGUUAUAAGCGGUUAUAACCUCCUUACACUAUAGAAUUUUCAGCUAACAUAGAGGUAAGUUCAUGGGGCCAAUCCUAUGUCUUGCACAAAAAGGCAGGUUGCAAUCGCCUUAUCAUUAAUUCGGAUAAUAUGGAAGUCAAUGGAGAAUGGAGGACCACCUGCCGUGACAAAACCAUGAUAGGAGCGGCGGCGACAGUUUUUCGAUGAUUGCUAUUCUUGGCCUUUUGAUUUUUCUCUUACUAGUUUUGAACAUUGUAACAGUGAAACUAAUAAAGUUGCCCAUAAACUUGCUAGGUUAGCAAAAAUUGCAGCUAUAAGGGAUUGGUUUGAGGAGCCCUUGGAUGAGAUUGUAUCUCUUCUUAUUGAUGAUGUAACCAUUAUUUACAAUAAUAAAAUUUUAUUAUUGUUCAAAAAAAAGUGUGCGGGCCAAUCUUAGAGACGGGUUUGCCUCCACACACUAUUGAUGCUCCCAGACAACAACUUUUGCUUCAACCGCAAAAGUGUUUGCCCAUAAACUUGCUAGGUUAGCAAAAGUUGCAGCUAUAAGGGAUUGGUUUGAGGAGCCCUUGGAUGAGAUUGUAUCUCUUCUUAUUAACGAUGUAACCGUUAUUUACAAUUAAUAAUUUUUGUUAUUAUUCAAAAAGAAGUGCGCGGGCCAAUCUUAGAGACGGGUUUGCCUCCACACACUAUUGAUACUCCUAGACAACAACUUUUGCUUGAACCGCAGAAGGGUCUAGUUUUUUUAAGAGAAAAAUUAAAGGGCAUAUGGUUCUUCUUUUACCGUUUGAGAAUUGAGAGUAGCACCUUAUAAAAGGAUCGAAAUUUGUAAUUUCCUAACGUUCUCAAUUUUACAUUAGAUCCGAACGACCUGGAAACACUCGGAUCACGAUCUCCUGGUCCUUCGCGCAUGCAGGCGCCCCGCAAUUUGUGCUGACCAGCUGCGGGAUGGGAUCGCUGUCUCGUGGCUGUGUGCGACAAAAAAUAAAUUGAAUGCAAUUCCUAGGAUUCAAAACCUGGCUGAUGGGAAGCAGCAUGCCCCUGCUAACCAACGCCCUUACGUGACUUCUUAUCUCCAAACGUAUGAACAUACUUAUUUGGACUGUGAUAUAUACCAAAUGUUCGUACCUAUAGUAAAGGUCCGAAAGAUCCCACCUUCACGAGGCCGAGUGCGCGUAGCGCGCGAGGCUGAGUGCGUGUAGCGCGCGAGGCCGAGUUGUCGAGCGGAGGCAAUCGCGAGGCCCAUCUCAACGCCCCUCAUGUGACCCUGGCCCACAACCAUCACGGACCCUCCCCCUAAAAACCCUACUUUCUUAUCUCCACAGCAAGAAAACGCAACAAACACUCUCCAUCGACCCUCCUCUUCUUAUUCCUCUUUCCCUGGCGACGAACUCAACCAUUCAUCUCCGUCCCCUACCCCCCUUCAAUUGCUUCACAAAACAUGCAAUACACUUGAGAAAACUGAAGUUACCACCAGAUCUCGGUUUGAUCUACCACCGGGUAGACAAGAACUCACCAAGCGUCCAGAAUCCAGCAAAAUCUUCGCAAAAUCAUGCAGAAACGCUUGGGGGGCUCAAGUUACCACCCGAUCUCGACUUGAUCUACCACCAGGGACACCAGAACUUACCAGGCGUCCAGAAUCCAGCAAGAAUCCAGAUGGAUCAGGUACAUCUAAGCACUCCCUACUGUAUCUGAAUUCCAUUUCAGUUCAACCCAAAAAAGCCCCAUGAAAAAAGGAAGAAAAAAGUGGCAUUUUUUCCUAAUUUAUGGUACUAUGUGCAUAGAAGCUAUCAUGACAGAAUAAUGAGUUAUCAGGGCAUAUGCAAAGGUUUUUCUUGAAAAAAGACAACUCCUUUUCAACUUAUUGCACAAAAACAGUGAAAUUAGGCUAAAAAAAUACUUGUUGUAUGUAAAAUAGGAAGUCACAACACCAUAACAGAAUCCACUCUUGUUACAAUUAGGCUAUAAUUAUUGUGUAGAGAAAGCUACCACAUUUUUUCAUACAAAAGUUAUCAUCAGGAUUGUCAUCUGUUACCAUGACAUCAUGGUGCUUCUAUGCAAAAAGUUACCAUCAAAAAAAAACUUGAACUAAUUUUUGAAGCAGGGAAUGGUGUGCCGAGUAGAGUAGAGUCCCGAAUGAGUAACAAAUUGGUACCUGCAGAAAAAAUGAUAAUAUCCAUGUCAACUCAAAAAGAAUCACAAAAAAAGUACAAAAAGAUAGCAUGCACCAUGUGCAAAAAUAUGAUUUAUGUAUGUAAACAAUAGUGUUAUUUUUAGUUGUCUCACAUAUGCUAUUAACAUGUGUAAGCAGGUGCUUCAAUAACAUGUCGAAAAACCAUGGAUAUAACACAAAUGCCACAGAUAGUGCUGGACGAGAGAAACAACAUGAUGAUGAUGCACGUACGAUUAGCUUUGGUUCAGGUAAGUGGCAACUCACUUACAAAAGUGUCACACUAUAUGUUUAUGCUGGAAGCAGAAUGUUAUCAUCACAUCAUACUACAACUUACCACACUUGUUCAAUACAAGUUACCACUAAACAAUGAUAAAUCAUGAUGUGACAAAAGCAUUUCAUGUGAAAAACAUGCAGGUGCUCCACCUACAUCUAACCAGAGGAUCCAUGAGCCAAGCAAGGAAGCAAGUUCUAGCGUUGGGGGAGAAGAAAGGUUCUUUGAUGUGUCGGUCAGCGAGCCAGCAAGUCCAGAAACAGGAGCACUCAACGCUGAUCAAGGAGGAGUUAACACUGAGGCAUACUCCACACUAAGGGUCCUGAUACAAUAAUGAAGUUUGAAAGUUUUGAGGAGGCUGUUGAUCACUACGAGCUAUAUGCACUCAGAAAUGGAUUUGGGACAAGGAUAGAGUACACAAGAACACUGAAGGACAACAUAGUGAGCAGAGCACUCCUGAUGUGUGGGAAAGGCGGCAAGCCAAAGAAGAAGAAGAAGGAGGAGGUGCAGGAUGUACUGAACCCAAAAGGCAUCGUGAAGAAGAGUAAAAGGCGUAAGGUUAAGAGGACUCAGUGACCAGCCCGCCUUUACCUUACGCACAAGGAUGCGUGGUGGAGAGUCGAACGCUUUGAUGACAACCACAACCAUCCACUGAUAAGAAAGCCAUCUCUGACAAAAUUUCUAGCCUCACAUAGGAACAUUCCCAAAGAUGAGCAAGAUUUCUUACGGAUUCUACAUGAAUGCAACAUAGACACCGCAAGGCAAAUGCAACUAAUUUCAUGGUUCUAUGGUGAUGCUGAGAAUGUACCAUACACAACACAUGACCUUGCAAAUCAGCGAGCCAAAUUUCGCAAGGAGUACCGUAAUGCAGACGUGGGGAGCACAAUUUCAUACUUUGAGGAGCUCAGGGCAAAGGAUCCAGAUUUCUAUUGGAGAAUGAAACUUGAUGAUGAAGACAGGGUGGAAAACGUAUUCUGGAUAGAUGGUGCAUCACAUAGGGCAUACGCAAAAUACAACGACAUUGUGUCAUUCGACACAACGUACAUGACUAAUAUGUACAAGAUGUCGUGUGCCCCCUUCAUUGGCAUUAACAACCAUGGGGAAUCAAUCCAAUUCGGUUGUGGUUUCGUUCGAAACGAACUGACUGACAACUUUGUGUGGUUGUUUAACACAUUUUUGCAUGCGAUGGGUGGGGUUGUACCAAAGAACAUAAUCACAUAUCAGGACUUUGCCAUGAGGAAUGCUAUUGACGAGGUGUUCAUCGGGAUAGUACACAGAAAUUGCAGAUGGCACAUUAUGAAGAAAGCACAUGAGAAGCUUGGGAGGUUAAUGGCCGAUGAUGAACCACUGAACAAAGCAUUCAAAGAUUGUGUUGACAACAACUUGAAUGGUAUUGUAUUUUCACACAACACACUCCACUCAUAUUGCCGUAAAUUACAUAAAUGUGCCGCGAUAUCCAAUGUUACCAUGCUAAAUUAUAAUAAAUUAUGACCAACAUUACACAUUUUUCCCACAUUGAUAAAAAUAAGGUUUCAUGUGAAAAACUGGACUGUUGUGAAAGAGUUACCAGUACACAUGUUCUUAAGUGAACGUGACCACUUUAGCAUGUUUGCCAUGUAGUUAUAGUUCCCAAAAUCUGCAUCGACUACGACCACCUAGUGUUGCAUGAAGGAAGUUAUCAUGAUAAGUGCAUCAAAAGUUAUCAUGAUAUGUGUAGUUAACUUGCCAUCUUUUUCACUUUUGCAUGUAGUGGAAGAGUUAUAUGAGAUUGGGUCACAUGUAACUAUGUAGUUGAGUUGUGUUAAAUAUAUCAUAACUAUGUGCAUUGUGGGAGUUCCCCAUUUUGCAUGAACCAGAACCACAUACUGUCCCCUAAAGCAAGUUAUCAUGUUAAGUGUAUUAGAAUUACCAUGAUGUGUGCACUGAAAUUACCACAUACUGUCCCCUGAAGCAAGUUAUCAUGUUAAGUGUAUUAUAAUUACCAUGAGGUGUGCAUUGAAAUUACCAUCUACUUGGUUUUUGAACGCAGUUGAGGAGUUUGAGGAAAAAUGGUGGAAGAUGCUGGACGAUCAUGGGCAAACGGACAACGAGCAUUUCCACUGGCUGUGGGAAAACAGGGAAUGCUGGGUCCUAGUGUACUACAUGCACGACUUCUUCCCAUUCUUGUAGACAACGGCAAGGAGCGAGGGAUUCAACGCUGUGUUGAAGAAGUACGUCAACCCAAAUAACUUGCUAGUGGAAUUUGCAAAACAGUACACUGCAAUACAAGAGAAGGAGAUGGUGAGCGUGUCAAAAGAGCACCUGGAAAUAGUGUACAAAGAGGUGGAAACAUACUCCUUCAACCCACUCAAGUUACAUGUGUAGGGCCUCUACACGCAUAAUCUUUUCACCAAAUUCCAGAUGGAGAUGAAGGUGAAAACUGGCUACAGAUGUGACAGUUGCAAGAUGGGUCAUUCAAGGUUGGCUCAGUCAGAGGAAUCAUACCAAAAUAUGGGGAUAGGGACUACCAUGUGCAAGCAAACAAGGAUGAAGGGAUAUAUUCAUGCACUUGCUGCAAGUUUGAGCGAGAUGGUAUACUCUGCGCACAUGUGUUAUGAGUGAUGGACCAAAUCGGGGUGUACGAGAUACCUAAGAAGUAUAUUCUAAAGAGGUGGACUUGGGAUCAAGAGGAAGAUCUAAUCAAACCUGAUUUUGAACAACCAACAGUUAGUAAGAGCAUUCCAGAGGAGGGAAAGAGCGUCAUGCGAUAUACAUCAAUGCUAAGGGACUUCAAGGCAACAACCAAGGAUGCUUGCCUCACAGAUGAUGGGGCUAGGGUGGCCAAGAAGCACCUAUAUGCUUUGAAGGAAGAAAUGGAUGCGCUAACAAAAAGCCAACGUAAGAAGGCCAGAAAGGACAAGGAAGAAGCUAGAGGAUCGUUCCAAUCACAACAAGAUCCAUGUUCUAUUCCAGUGGUCGCAACAAGUGAAGCUGUCAUGCUGAACAACAAACAAGCAUACCUAACACGGACAAACCAAACACGGGACAAACAAGCAUCCCUGUGACAAUACAAGCUAGCGCCAACAUGCCUGCCACUGCAUCCCAUUCCUCGAACACAAAAUAGAUACUAGACCCUCCGAAGACUGUCACAAAAGGACGGCCGAAAAUAAAGAAGCAUCAGCAUCCCUUUGACAUUGCAAAACCAGCAAAACAAAGAAAGUGCAGUGUUUGCGGCAGCGUGCACCACGACAAGCGCAGGUGCACAUCACCUCUAGUAAGAUGAAUGAAAGAGAAAACAAGAUCGUCGCUACAAAUGAAUGGAUAAGAAACUUAUCUUCAUUUGUUUUGCUGAUUGUUAUCAGUGCAGAAAAAAUGUAAUCCGAAUUAUAGCACCUAUAUUUAUGUAAGUUAUCAACACAUUUGUGGGCUGAAGUUUUAAGUAUUUUGUGGUGAAAGUUAUCGUAAGCACAUUGGGUAAGUUAUUUGUGGGCUAUCCUCAGUUUCCUAUAUGUUUUACAUGUGUCAUUUCACUACAAUGAGUUUUCAACACUAUCUACAAGCAUCCCUGUGAUAAAGUUUUUCUAUAUGUUUUGGAAAAUAUCAGCUUGUAUUCAUACUAGUUAUCAACAACACAAAAAUGCAAUUUACCGGAUAAAUUGUGAUCACAUUAUUUCAUGACCAAAAAAGAAUGAGAGAACCAACUAGUUAUCAGACUAUUUAUAUAAGAAAAGGAAUAGCAGCCACGUAAGGUAUAUGUUACCAUCUGGUACUGAAUUUCUUCUAUGUGUGAUGACAAGACACUAAAAACAACCAGUGUGCCAACAAAGAAAAUGCUAAACUACUUCUUUCGAGUAGUUAACAUCAAUUUAAGACCAGCACUGAAAAGUGCUCUCACAAACGAAAAAAAAAGAUGAUGACAGUUGAUACCUCACGAACUAUUGCCAAACAAAUGAUAGCGCCACUCUUUGCAUCUGUUUUGAAUGUGAUUUAGCCACCUCGAUGUCAAAAAAAUUCUGAGUGCAGGUACUUGCUCUUGGGUGAAGGCGGGAAUAAUUUUCCCAUUCCACAGCUCCAAAGACAUGAAAGCGAGGUAGCCACAAUCAAUGUUGAAAACAGAGUGUGUGUGUGAGUACAUAAAACAUGAUAUCGAACAAAUGGGGCUACAUCUAAAUUAGGGAACACAGAUAAACAACUAACCCAUUUUCUUGUUUAGAAACAUCAAUAUACACGAGUUCAUAAUCUUGAAUUUGCUUGCGCGAGUCCUUGUAUGAAAUCAACCAAGCCUUCUUUAUAGCAUUCAUAUACCUUGUUGCGUGCUCAAUUAAAGAUGGACUAUCUUCUUCACGCAACUAAUCCAGCACCUCAAAUCGUUUCGCCUUAAGAUUUAGCGACAGUACAUACCAAUGACCGUCAUCUGGUCCCCGUCCCAACUUUUGCAGAGCAGGGAAUAGAAGCUACAAUAAUCAUAGCAGUAACAAAAAAAGAGGAAGCCAUAUUUAAAUACAGGGAACACAAGAAAAAGUUAUCAUGGCAGAAGAAAUAAAGUUACCAGAAACUGAGUGCUAAAGUUACCAUGCAAAACAAAUCUAAGUUGUCAUACCACAGAGACUUAAUUAAAAAAAACAAGAAUAUGGAUGCUGAUGCUAACAUUAAAACACAAAAAACAGGCAUUGGAUGCUCAAUUUACCAGCAAAAGUAAAUGAAUUAUCAUACCAGACUAUGUAUAAUGAAGUUAUCAUGAAAAAAAGGCACUGCAAAAAAUAAAAAAAAGUGUAAACAAUGGAUAUUAAAAGUGUAGAGUGGCAAGAAAACUCAGAAAAGUACCUCAUUUUGAUGGCUUAGAAUGUAGUGUUGGUCCCGUCGGAAAUGAUGAAGUACACAUUUACAGUUGAAGUCUCCAACAAACAGAUAAACAGACAACAGCCAAGGGAAGAUAAUCUUGUUUGGCAUUUCCAAAUAUUGAAGAACACAAACAUGCAACUCAGCAAUACUGGUUGAAACUUGCCCCGUUUCUCUCACACAAUUAGCAAGCUCGCCGAGUGUGACCCACCUCCCAUCAAUGUUGAUUACCCUGACACUGCAAUACCAGGGGGGAGCGUCUAAAAACAAAUGGAAUGGCAAAAAAAUGCAUGAAAAACUAAGAAAUGGUCGUUUAUUACUCCUUAAUCUUGGAGUUUGAAUCAGUUGUGUGCUUGAUAACUUCAGCGUAAACAGCCUCUUCAUCUUCGCUGGGGAUAGUUACUAGUACAAUCCAAUGGAUGUUACCAGCAAAAAGUAAUGAGUGAAUUAUCAACGCAACAAAAAAAAGAGUGUUGUGAAAAAACCUUAUUGGGUAAGAUAAAUAUGUGGUUAGAGUCAAAUUUAUCAUACCAAAACAAUAACAUUUAUCAGGAUGUCAUUCUUUCAUGCAAAAACAAGAUGAAUUAUCAACACAACAAAAGGACUGUUGUGAAAAACUUAUUGGGUAAGAUAAUAUGUGGUUAGAGUCAAAGUGAUCAUGCCAAAACAAUUGCAUUUAUCAGGACAUCACUUGUUCAGGCAAAAACAAGAAAAAUGUUCAAAAAAUUGUUAUUGACCGUGACCAGAAAAAAAUGCAGAAGAUGUCAUGCAAAAAAAACUGGUUAGCUUAGAUCACCAUAGAACAUAUGGUCCAAGACAAGGUAGUGGAGCAUGUUGUCAGAGUAAUGAGAGGUGUUACCAUAGUAUAGCAAAUCAAGUUACCAGGUAGUUAGAAGGUAUGUUACCAGGUGGGAGAAGGGGAUGUUAUAUUAUGAAAACAACACACAGUCAUGUUGUCAUGGGAGGUAAAAAUAAUACAUUGUAAUCAGUAAUCACAAACAGGAGGACACACAUACAGAAAAUAAAUACAAAAGCACAACACACAAAUUAUGGUGAAAGAGAAUCAAAAAAUGGUUCAUUUCACAUAACACAAAAGCGUAAAGAGUCAUAUUACAUUCAUCCACACACGCACACAGAUAUAGGGAAAAGGAAAAGAACUGACUUAAAUACGGAAGAAAGCACAUAAAAACAGUUAAAAAGGUCUUCGAUUAAGUGCCUCCAUCAUUCACUCGUUGCUGUGAAGCGAAGACACAAAAAGGUCUUCACUUACCGGAGUUGGCAAGCAGCGCCCAAGCAACCGGUUCAACGUCAAUGCCCUCGACAUUCUCCGCGGCAGUAGAGGCAAGUGCUAGGAUCGCGUCUGAAUCAGCUAAUGUUGUAGCUGUUGCAUGUGGUACUUCUGCUGCUUGCGGUGCGGCUACUGAUUCUAGCACUUCUCUUGCUUGUGGUGCUCCUGCUCCUAUUUGUGGUGCAUGAGGUGAUUCAGGAAUACCCUGAACCACAGCUGCCACUGGUGGAACCACUGGUGAAUCUUCAGGCAUCACACCAAAAAUGGAGCCAAGUCCAAGAGAGCAGCUUGGUGGGGUGAAAUCACCAGCAACUCUAACUGCAGCAUCAUCACUUGCAGCUUCUGGAGUGACAACAACGUCUUCAGCUUGAACUUGAUGAUGCAAUUGGACAUUCUGGGAAUCAUCCACAACUUUAAGUUCAGCAGUUUCAUCUUGAGCAUCAGAAUUGUCAGCUGGGACUGCAGUAUACAAGUACACUUACCAUCAAAAAAUACUAUAUUUACCAUCAUAAAAAGUAAGAGUUACCACCAGAAAAAUGUUAUAGUUACCAUCAGAACAGUCCAUACCUGGAGCUGUAUUUCCUGCAUCAACACCAGUUACUACAACAGCCACUCCGGCUUCAGGGGGCACGGACACUUGGGCAGCUUCGGUGACGGGUUCAGUAACAUGUUGAGCUGCAUCAAAUGGGAGGACAAAAAAAGUUAUCACAUUGAACAAACUAGAUAUGUAUGUUUAACAUCAGACUAUUUAUCAUUCAAUGCAUACUAGUGUCCAUGACAGGAGUGUCAUCAACAUGAAUCUCAUCAUUAACAGCUGCAGUGGCGAGCUCUUCAACGACAGCAGUGACGGUGGCCACUGUAGCUAGUUGUUCUACAGAUUCAGCAGCAUCAAAUGCAACUUCAGGGGCAGCUGCUGCUUCGACGGACGCUGGCAAAUAGCCCAUUACAAUAGGUUGUGAAACGACAACAGGAGACGUCAACGUGGGCUGAUCUUCAAGAUCCACAACCUCUAUCGGCUUUGAAGAAGCUUCUCUUAGUCGAGGAUAAGACCUAGUCUUGGUAAACCGCACCUUUUUAGCGGCAUUAAUUCCACUUGACUUCCCUACAAAAAAAGGCUAAGUUGUGAGAUGUAUUGUUAAAAUGAACAGACACAACCUAAAAAAAGUUACCAUCUAAAAAGAGCGUAGAUGCAUAGAAACAAGGAGAUAGUUACAGGUUACCAUUGUAAUACUACUAAAAUUACCAGAUAAACAGUUCAAACUACCAUGCAAAACAGUAAUGAAAAUCUGCAACAUAUUUUUAACAAAAGAUAAUCACGACAAAUAAUGAACCAGCUAAAAAUAUACUACGCGGAUGUAUAUACUGUACAAAAGGGCAGCUAAUUAUAAGAAGUAGCAAGUAUGAAAUCUAAAAAGAAAAAGAAACUGAAAUUCUUGAUAAAUUAUGCAACACGAAAUGAAUAAAAAAGACAAAAAAAGACCAAUUGGUCCAACAGAUUACCUAGAUUUUGGGAUACUGGAUGACACCUCAAGUGUACCAACUUGUUUGCAGGGUGCCCUGAAAAAAUAAACUGGAGUAGUGAACAAAGAGGUUGGACCAGUAGUUUAGAACCAAACAAAGCGAAGAUGUGUAUAAGACAAAAAAAGGUGCAAGUUAUCGGAGGGGUCCUACUGAAGUUAUCACAUACAAUCAGUUGAAGCUACCAUGAAGUGUUAGAACUGAAGAAAUACAAAAAGUAGAAAAAAUACAAAAGGAUAUUUCACCUGCGUGGAACCUAUUUAGUACCAGUUGAGGGUCGAAUGACCUCACCGGUGCCCUUGUCAGCCACACGGAUCCCAAGAUCUUCUACAACCACUUUCAUGAUAGAUAAAUGAAUGUCCCUUUCUGAUAGCUGGAUAGGCUCAGAUGGCGGAGUAGAACGGGGUAGUGAUGGUAGCUUCAACUUCUUGCGCCUCCGCAUGUAAGCCAAAUUUUUGGCAAGCUGAGCACCGCAUCUUUUAACAGAAGAUUCAGUGGCCAAAUCAAACUACGUGUCUGUCAUAUCACGCCGGCUGAGCACGCCAUCCCCUGAGCUGCUUGACACCGUGUUAGAAGUACCAGUGAGCAAGAUCUGGGACUCAAUAACAGGUUCAUCGCCCGCACGGUCAGAUAUCCCUUCGACAUUUCCUGCUACACUGUCACGUGCUUCAGCAUUUGCAUCACUUGAUUGAGUUGGGUCCACAAUUCCUACUACACUAUCAGGUAUGCCUUCAACAUUUUCUAUGAAACUGCCACGCACUUCAGCGUUUGCAUCGCCUGAGUGAGUUGUAUCCACAUCCACUGCCCCGCUGCCAGAGGCCACAUUCUUUGCCCCCCUGCGGGAAGAAAAACCAUGAUACAAAACUGUAAAGUCAUCAUCACCAUCAUCAGAUUCGUCCCCGUCGUUUUCAUCCGUAUCACGGUCAGUAUCAGACUCAUCCAUAUUAUUCUUGCCAGGGCUCUCCGAUUGAUGGGUACGGCGUGCAGGAGAGGGCUUUGCCAUAUUCCGGGUAGCAGAAGAAAUCGCCCUAAGAUCAGUGUCUAGUCGACGAGACACAUGUGAACAGCCUUCAUCAUCAAGUGAGACGAACCCUUGCACAAAAUCGCCAAGCAGGCCAACCAAGCCAGAUGAAAACCGACCCACGAGCUCCGAAGCCUUUGCAAGUUUCUACUCAUUAAUAAUAAAUCAAUAGAGACAAAAAGGAACACUUUUAGUUACCAGACAUUAUUUUUUAGAUGCAAACAAUAAUACACAAAACAGACAAAACAAGAGAUCAUAAGAGAAUUAAAAGAAUAGACAGGAUUUCCAUACUCAAGUUAUCAUGCGAGUGCAACAGAAAGUAUCAACCAAUUACAACACAAGUUAUCAACAGUUAAAAAAAUAAAAAUUAGAUUGGUAAAACAUGAUUUAUCAGGUAAAACAGACACAAAUUACCAUGUGUAUGCAACAAAAGUUACCAUCAUAAAACACAACAUAAAAACAGCAAUGAAGAAAAUAUUCCAGAUGUGUAAUACAAAAACACUUAUAAGGUUGCAUAGUCAUUAGUUACCAUCAAAAAAUGUAUCAACAGCAAAGAAAAAGGCUACAAAUUACCAGAAUACAUAUAAACAAUAAAAAAACAUACCUCUUCACUGCAGUUUGGUGGGACAUGCACACGCAUGAACUUCCCAAGACCUUGUAAACCGCCAAACAAGCAGAAAUCAACGCCAAACUAGGGUUUCAACUGGUGAUUUGUUGAGAAUGAAAAUGAGUAAAGAAAAGUAUAAAGAACAAAUGCAUUUGCAGUAAGUACAUGAAGUGAUUAGAAGGAAAAGAAAAACAAAGUUACCGGUAGUUUGUCGUAAGAAAUUCCGUCCGCUUGGACAUCCAUACUAAGCAAUUCAGAUGUCUUCUCUUUUGUCCAAACAUUGAUAGGAAACGCACCAUCGGGCAAUGAGAUACCAAGACCAGUAAGAUCGAUAGCAUCAAUGUACAGAAGCUGGUAAAAAGAGUCAUUGAUGUCAGAAAUACACAACUAGACAGCAGGAAAAGAAAAGAAAAAAAAGCACCAACGCUUACAUUGUAGAAAAGAAGACACCCCUUUGUAGGCCUCCCCUUCAAAAGUGCCUUAUGGAGCUCAUCAGCAAUGAACUUGGAACAGUUCAAGUCCUUGACUCUAUUAAUGUUUUGCUGAAAAAAUAAGGAAGUAAAUGAACAAAAAUUCUACAUGAUAUAAAGCAAUACAGUUACCAUGUAAACAUGAUGCAAGUUAUCAGCCACGUAACAUAAGUUACCAGUACUUACCAGCACACCAUACCAUCUAGGGCUGAUCUUGUUGGAUGUAGUAGGAGCAAUGACAGUAUUGCCGACAAGCAUAAGCCACAUCCGCUUGAACUUCUCAUCAUAAUUGACAGAACUUGUUAUGAGAUCAAGGACAUCAGUCAUUUUUGGAGUGUGGCCAAGCUCACCAAACAUCUCAAUCCCUAACUCAAUAUCAGCUUCUGUGGGCAGACUGUAAGGGACAUCUUCCCCACCACGAGGCACACCCAUCACACGAUGAACAGACUCUUUGUUGACAGGGAUCCUCCCACGCCCCGGAACAACCACUUCACGAGAGUCUGGCUCGUAUAACCCAGCAAGCCCUGUUCCGAGGUGGAGGGCGCUUCGGCUUUUUUGAAGGAACACCCUCAUGGCCAUCACCAGAUCCUUUGCGCUUCCUUGGCAUCGUGCCCUUGAGAAACAAAAUAAUAUUAAAGGACUGACAAGUAAGGAGUUACAGAAGGUGAAUUGGAAGACACAACAACCAAUGAGAUAACAAAACAAAAAGUCUGGUAACUUGUAUGAAUGGGACUGAUAGCCAUAACUUACCAGCCAUGAUAACUUUCUUAAAAUCUCAUUAAAAAUAGAUACUGAGACAUAUGCGUGAUUUGAAAAUGCAGCUAGAGUAAUUAAAAUGGCAACAGCUUAACAAUUCAAGUGCUAGUUUGAAGUAAUAAGACAUGGCAAAACUCAAACAGAAUGCUAGAUAUAAAAACAAGUGGACCACAGAGGGGUUGCAGGGUAACCGCUAACAAAAAUCAGUGGUAAUGACAAGCAAAAAAGGACUUGGAAAAAACAUUAUGCAAUAAGUUGUAUCUGAAGCAUGUGACCUAGCAUGAAUUUCGUGGUAACACAUAACGAUUCCGGUGGUAACUUUAGUGAACGAGUCCUGAUAGAUGUGCACCGGCCACAAUUUAUGGUUGCAAUAUGAAUCUAAACAAGUCACACCUCGCGCAAUACAACAUCAUAGAUCUGCAUCCCGAAACACAUCAAGGAGGGGGUGGAUACAGAGUUCACAUCCACAUUCCAAAAAUUCAUCAAAAAUGGAAGGAACCACGCACUGAUCAGACUCAUACAAACCAUCCACUGUCAAAAUCGGUCUUCAACCACCUGUUUCAUCGCCAUCUAUGCCUAAUCCACAACUUAUCCCCCCUCCCCCCGUACGGCCUAGAAUGGAAACGGAUGAACUCACAUAUGCACUCGCAACUCGAUCAAAACAACUCGACGAAAACAGGUCGCUGCAACAUCAAAAUCAACUAUGGCGCUCUCAUCUGCGGAAGCCCAGGCUUUACCCAACAACGGAAAGACAACGCGGGGGUGGGGGGGGGAGGGAGGAAAUCUCACCGGAACAAGUCGCCGCCGACCGUCGUGGAAGCAACCAGCGCCCGUCCGCGCGAUAUCUGCAGAAACUCGAGCGAUUUGGAGUCGAAUCGCUCGGAGGAAGAGGACGAGGAGAAGUAAUGGCGAAGUGGGAGGAGUGGGGUGAGAGCCGUUGUAGUUCGGGAGAAGAAGAGAGAGGAUCGUGCGUGAGGGAAGUGGGGAUUGGAGGAAGCCGCGGCGGGUGGGGCCACUUGCCAGAGGGAGAGAGGGGCGUAGGGUAACUCCCUCGCGCGAGGGACGCUGAGAUGCAACAACGAAAUUCACUCGCGACGACAGAUGCAGAUCGGACGGCUGUGCGGUCGUUCGGACCUUUUGUCAAUUCCAGAACGUUCACUCGUUACAUUUGUCGCAAAAUGAAUGGUCAGAUUGUUUUUUCUUAACCUUCUGCUUGACCUCAUGUUCACUUUCUUCUCUGAACCACUCAACGUACCACCUGCCGGCGGCUGGCGGCGCCCCCGCGCCUGCCUCGUCGCCUCACCCUUCCCCAAACGCCGCCCACCGCCGCGCUUGCACUGCCCUUGGUCAUCCCCCUAACCUCGAUCAACCUCCAGAUUUUCCUGUCGAACCUGCACCCCUCCCUCCACCUCAAAAUAGAUACCCGAUGAGUCGGCCACCCUAACAUAGACCUAGAGGCUGUUGCUUCACUGGCGAGCCGACGGCUGCUCCUUGUUGUUUCCUUCAUCUGAAAUCGUCUGACCCAGCUAUCAUUUCGAGUCGACUGACGUCCAGCUAAAUUGCCUUUUUAAGCAUCUAUACUAGUGGUUAGCUCGCUGAACCUCGUUGGUUGCUGGAUUAAUGUGCUGAAAGGACGUGACACCGUUUGCAUGCGCACCACCCUGAAUAGAGCUAGUAGUACGUACCAUGGUUGGUUUAUUUUGCUGCCAAUCGAGCAACAUGUCUAGUCCUGUGAAAAACAACUGGCAGUAGCAAAAGACGUGCAUGUCGUCAACCCGGGCACCCGUGCCAAAGCAAACGCUGCGCCCGGAGCUACAUGGACAAGCUUCACGUUUCCCUCGGGUGAAAGUUGAUAACUGGCAUCUACUUGGGGCAGUAGCAGACUAGCAGUAGAUGGAGUUGGUUGAUCCAACGGUCCCAAACAACGUCCCAACUAACAGAACAAGCUUUGGCCUCUGAUCCGUGUGACAUGGACUCGUGUCUCUCCCAACCAAGACGUGGCAAGCAAGCCCCAAUUAACUAGUUAUCGGCCAGAGCUUAGCCGCGCCGCACAUGGCGCUGCCAGGCCGCACGCCGACAUCGCUCCUUCAAGGCGGCCGGCUCGAGCUGGCCGGCCGGAGUCGCCGCGGCGUUUAUUGUUUCCGCUCCCAUGCAUCGUGUCCCAGCUGCAUGCACAGCUGCAGUGCCCUGCAUCGCACUCCACCCAUGCACAAUGCAGCACCGUCGCGUUGGUACGUACAGUGCUGUACAGGGAAGGGAAGGGAAGGGUGCAUGGUGAUGGUGGGUUGAUGAUGGACGGACGGUUGGAUCUCCAUUUAAGCGUCUCCACCCCCCUUGAAUGCAUUCAAUGGGCUCCCCCCUCUCCACCGUUGGGUAGCUAGGCGAUCGAUCGACCGAUCGAAGGCGGGCGAUUGGCCUCGGCUGACCGCGCUGCUGGCUGGUUCUCCUUUGCUUGGGCCAGUUGGGCGCGCCCUGGUCGCUGGGUCGCCCAACGACCCCGGCGGCAAUUUAUGGCCCACCACCCCCCGCCCCCGUUUCUUCGUUCGUUCAUCGGUCCAGACUCCAGAGCCCGGUCACUAACACUCACUACACACACGCAAAGAAAUGAAAAGAAAAUGAAAACACAAGGCUAGCUACCUCCCUCGGAGUACGUAUAUGCAGGUAUCCUGCUGUAGAUCGUAGUAGUACGGCAUGCAGCUACAGCGGGACGCGCUGGCAGGCUACCAAUAAAUCGCCAGCCAUCUCAACCAACUCUCAACACUGCACUGCUCCCAUCGAUAACCCACCACCUCUAUAAAACCCUAGUCUCCCCCUGCCAUCCUCCUCGCUCGCUUCCUCCAUGUGGAGUCACUUAUUACGCCCAGCCCAGCCCAGCCAGCACCUUAACUCGCCGAUCCACCCCUUGGAUCCACUCUACCCAGCUCGCUAGCCAGCGGGGUAUAUACACGCGCGUACGUACACUUGCAGAGCUUGCUUCAGGGAGGUCAGCCGGCAAUGGAGGUGGGGACGUGGGCGGUGGUGGCGUCGGCGGUGGCCGCGUACAUGGCGUGGUUCUGGCGGAUGUCGCGCGGGCUGCGCGGGCCGCGGGUGUGGCCCGUGCUCGGCAGCCUGCCCGGCCUGGUGCAGCACGCCGAGGACAUGCACGAGUGGAUCGCCGGCAACCUGCGCCGCGCGGGCGGCACCUACCAGACCUGCAUCUUCGCGGUGCCCGGGGUGGCGCGCCGCGGCGGGCUGGUCACCGUCACCUGCGACCCGCGCAACCUGGAGCACGUCCUCAAGGCGCGCUUCGACAACUACCCCAAGGGCCCCUUCUGGCACGGCGUCUUCCGGGACCUGCUCGGCGACGGCAUCUUCAACUCCGACGGCGACACCUGGCUCGCGCAGCGCAAGACGGCCGCGCUCGAGUUCACCACCCGCACGCUCCGGACCGCCAUGUCCCGCUGGGUCUCGCGCUCCAUCCACGGCCGCCUCCUGCCCAUCCUGGCCGACGCGGCCAAGGGCAAGGCGCAGGUGGAUCUCCAGGACCUCCUCCUCCGCCUCACCUUCGACAACAUCUGCGGCCUGGCGUUCGGCAAGGACCCGGAGACGCUCGCCCAGGGCCUGCCGGAGAACGAGUUCGCCUCCGCGUUCGACCGCGCCACCGAGGCCACGCUCAACCGCUUCAUCUUCCCGGAGUGCCUGUGGCGCUGCAAGAAGUGGCUGGGCCUCGGCAUGGAGACCACGCUGACCAGCAGCAUGGCCCACGUCGACCAGUACCUCGCCGCCGUCAUCAAGAAGCGCAAGCUCGAGCUCGCCGCCGGCAACGGCAAAUGCGACACGGCGGCGACGCACGACGACCUGCUCUCCCGGUUCAUGCGGAAGGGAUCCUACUCGGACGAGUCGCUGCAGCACGUGGCGCUCAACUUCAUCCUCGCCGGCCGCGACACCUCCUCCGUGGCGCUCUCCUGGUUCUUCUGGCUCGUGUCCACCCACCCUGCGGUGGAGCGCAAGAUCGUGCGCGAGCUCUGCUCCGUUCUCGCCGCGUCACGCGGCGUCCACGACCCGACAUUGUGGCUGGCGGAGCCCUUCACCUUCGAGGAGCUCGACCGCCUGGUCUACCUCAAGGCGGCGCUGUCGGAGACCCUCCGCCUCUACCCCUCCGUCCCCGAGGACUCCAAGCACGUGGUCGCGGACGACUACCUCCCCGACGGCACUUUCGUGCCGGCCGGGUCGUCGGUCACCUACUCCAUAUACUCGGCGGGGCGCAUGAAGGCGGUGUGGGGGGAGGACUGCCUCGAGUUCCGGCCGGAGCGAUGGCUGUCGGCCGACGGCACCAAGUUCGAGCAGCAUGACUCGUACAAGUUCGUGGCGUUCAACGCCGGGCCGAGGGUGUGCCUGGGCAAGGACCUAGCCUACCUGCAGAUGAAGAACAUCGCCGGGAGCGUGCUGCUCCGGCACCGCCUGACCGUGGCGCCGGGCCACCGCGUGGAGCAGAAGAUGUCGCUCACGCUCUUCAUGAAGGACGGGCUACGGAUGGAGGUACGUCCGCGCGACCUCGCCCCCGUCCUCGACGAGCCCUGCGGCCUGGACGCCGGCGCCGCCGCCACCGCCGCCGCAGCGAGUGCCACAGCGCCAUGCGCGUAGAAGACCUGGCACUGGCACGGGCACGCGCCAUGCAUGAUUCGUGUGUGCUAGCUGUUGAAGGGACGCCGGACAUUGAAUGUGUAGAUAGGGCAGCAGUGCAAGACCGUAAGUAAAAUUGAUGAUGGGUUUGGUGACAACAUUCAAGUCACUCCUUUCCAGAAUUUACGACCCGGAUAGGAGAAACAGGGAAACUUUGCAGAUCACAACACAAGAUCUAGCCAGCCGGGGAUCUGAUCGAUCUGUGUCUGCUCAGAGCACGGGUGCAUGGGAGACCAAGGAGGAAAGCAUAAAAUAACAGAAACUGAGUGAGCAAUAUUUGUGAUUGUAGCCACGGGAGAGAGAGAGGAGUAAUUAGUAAUUCAGAUUUGUUUGCAGUAGCUCGGUGUUGGUGACCAGAUCAUAGCCAACUAGGCUAUUCUAUUCUAUUCUAUUCUAUUUUUGGAGAUGAUUUUUCAAAGCCGUGUACCCUUAUUCUAUUCUUAGAGAGUUCAUAUCCUAUCCAUGAAACUUGUAAGUAGACUUUGCAGUAGACGUGCUCAAGGUUGUUUGCUUCUUUGACACCAUGUUCAUCCAUGACAAGUUUCUUCUUUAGUGGUCUGAUUCGCUGCAGUACGUUUCUAGCUUCUCUAGCUAGCUAACCUUGGUGCUGGAUCUGCAUGCGAUGACAUUGACUCUCGUGCAUGCAUGUAUCGGUGCCUUGAUGAGGUCUGUUGCGCGCGCCGUCCGAUCUGGUGAGGGAUAGCAACCAAGAAUCUCAGGUGCGUAAAAGCAAGUUUGAUGUGGAUGGCUCCCAACAUCAACAUGCACAUAUUUGGCAGCCGUUCUCUCUGGCCUGCAGGCUCGUCCUCAUGCACUCUCUCUAAUUGUCGUUCUUACGACAGCGAUGGGAUCGCGCGAUACGAGAAAAAGGAACUGAAGUUGACGCGGUACGAUUUCGACGGGUGUUUGUUGGCAUGGUUGGUUCGUUUGAUGCAACGAUUUUAAUCUACCUCCAGCUACCUUAUGUUCAGAGUGUUAUUGUGACUUGAUUUGAUCGACGGAAUUAUACCCCACAUCGGUAUCAGUAUUUCUUUUUUUACUAAAUGAUCCUACGAGAAACUUCAAUCCGCUCAUUGACCCCCCUGAAAAACCUUUUUUUUGUGGGAAAUACUUUUGUAUUACUCAAGAAGCCAUGCUACCCUCCAGAUUACAUUGUUCAACAACUUUGUCCGGUCCAUCAGGGUUUCAGUUCUGGUGCUCGUAUUUAUUCCUGAAUUUAUUUCAGGAUUUCCGGCGAUGCGCAUUUAGUGAAAGGAGACGUUCUUGUUAACGACGAGGUGCCUACGAUGACUUCGUAAAUUUCAAGAUGAUAUGUUGGUUCAGUCUUUUGGAGGUGCUCAUAGGGUCAGGAUGUAUGUGUGCGCAUUCAUAGGGGUAAGUGUAUAUACGUGUAUAUGAGCACUUGCAUCUGUACUAUGUUAAAGAAAAACUUUGUCCGGUCCAAAACCCAGUCAUACAACAGUUCGGCCAUUAGCUCUGCCAUAACUUGCCAAACAAUAACUAACAAGAUUGUAUUCGCAAAGCAAGUAUUUCAUUGUCCCGUGAGAAGCUCAUGGUCGUGGACAAUAAAUCCAUAACGUGUCCUAUCCGUACCUUCCUUCUUUAAGAGAUGAGUCAAUUCGCGAACCAAUCUAUGGUUGGAUGGUUAGAGAAACUGUGGUAUCCUAGCCCAUCAGGGUUCAAGUCCUGAUGUUUGUAUUUUUUCUGGAUUUAUUUCAGGAUUCCCGCGAUGCGCAUUCAGUGGGAGGAGACGUUCCCGUCGACGAAGAGGUGCCUAUAGUGACUUCGUAAAUUUUAAGAUGAUAUGCCGGUUCAGUCUUUCGGAGGUGCUCAUAGGGGUAGGGUGUGCGUGUCUGCAUUCAUAGAGGUGAGUGUAUGCGCGUGUAUAUGAGUGCUUGCGUCUGUACCGUGUUAAAAAAAGAUGAGUUAAUUCUAUUUUUUGCCCUCAAAAUAUACGCGUUUGAUAAAUUGUACCCCCAAGUUGACAUUCGAUCAAGUGAUGGCCCAUAAUUUAAAGAUUACUUUCACAUUUUGCCCCAAUAUAAAUAAAGAAUGAGUUCACAAUAGUACAAGAAUGAGUUCACCAAAAGUAUGAAACAAUUGCUUGGGUUGUCAUCGGGGUUGUGCAUGAUUUGAAUAUUUUGUAUAAUGAAGAUGGAGCAUAGCCAGACUAUAUGAUUUUGUAGGGAUAGCUUUCUUUGGCCAUGUUAUUUUGAGAAGACAUAAUUGCAUUGUUAGUAUGCUUGAAGUAUUAUUGUUUUUAUGUCAAUAUUAUACUUUUGUUUUGAAUCUUAUGGAUCUGAACAUUCAUGCCACAAUAAAUAAAAAUUACAUGGAUAAAUAUACUAGGUACCAUUCCACAUCAAAAAUUCUGUUUUAUCAUUUACCUACUCAAGGAGGAGCACGAAUUAAGCUUGGGGAUGCUUGAUACGUCUCCAACGUACCUAUAAUUUUUUAUUGUUCCAUGCUAUUAUAUUAUCUGUUUUGGAUGUUUUAUAUGCAUUAAUAUGCUAUUUUAUAUUAUUUUUGGGACUAACCUGUUAACCUAGAGCCGAGUGCCAGUUUCUAUUUUUUCCUUGUUUUUGAGCUUCACAGAAAAGGAAUACCAAACAGAGUCCAAAUAGAAUAAAACCUUUGCGAUGAUUUUUCUUGGACCAGAAGACACCCAUGAGACUUGGAGUGCAAGUCAGAAGAGCCACGAGGCGGCCACAAGGGUGGAGGGCGCGCCUAGGGGGUAGGGCGUGCCCCCUACCUUGUGGGCCCCUUGGUGACCCCCUGACCUAGAUCUUCCUCCUAUAUAUUCACAUAUAUUCCCAAACCACCAGAAGCAUCCAAGAAAACACUUUUCCACCGCCGCAACCUUCUGUUCCCGUGAUAUCCCAUCUUGGGGCCUUUUCCGGCAUCCUACCGGAGGGGGAUUUGACCACGGGGGCUUCUAAAUAAACUCUAUUGCGCUUCCGAUGAAGCGUGAGUAGUUUACCGCACACCUAAGGGUCCAUAACUAGUAGCUAGAUGGCUUUUUCUCUCUCUUUGGUUCUCAAUACCAUGUUCUCCUUGAUUUUCUUGGAGAUCUAUCCAAUGUAAUCUUCUUUUGCAGUGUGUUUGUCGAGAUCCAAUGAAUUGUGGAUUUAUGAUCAGCUUAUUUGUGAAUACUAUUUGAAUCUUCUCUGAAUUAUUAUUAUAUGCAUGAUUUGAUAUCUUUGUAAUUCUCUUUGAACUAUCGGUUUAGUUUGGCCAACUAGAUUGGUUUUUCUUGCAAUGAGAGAAGUGCUUAGCUUUGGGUUCAAUCUUGUGAUGUCCUUUCCAAGUGACAGUAGGGGCAGCAAGUCACGUAUUGUAUUGUUGCCAUCGAGGAUAAAAAGAUGGGGUUUACAUCAUAUUGCUUGAGUUUAUUCCUCUACAUCAUGUCAUCUUACUUAAAGCGUUACUGUGUUCUUCAUGAACUCAAUACUCUAGAUGCAGGCAGGAGUCGAUCGAUGUGUGGAGUAAUAGUAGUAGAUGCAGGUAGGUGUCAGUCUACUUGACAUGGACGUGAUGCCUAUAUUUCAUAAUCAUUGCCUUAAAUAUCGUCAUAACUUUGCGCUUUUCUAUCAAUUGCUCGACGGUAAUUUGUUCACCCACCGUAUUAUUUACUAUCUUGAGAGAAGCCUCUAGUGAAACCUAUGCCCCCCGAGUCUAUUUUCCAUCAUAUAAGUUUCCGAUCUACUAUUUUGCUAUCUUUUAAUUUCCGAUCUAUAAACCAAAAAACCCAAAAAAUAUACUUUAUCUUUUGUUUAGAUUUAUCUAUCUCUAUCAGAUCUCACUUUUGCAAGUGACCGUGAAGGGAUUGACAACCCCUUUAUCGCGUUGGGUGCAAGUGUUUGAUUGUUUGUCCCUUCACGGUCACUUGCAAAAGUGAGAUCUGAUAGAGAUAGAUAAAUCUAAACAAAAGAUAAAGUAUAUUUUUUGGGUUUUUUGGUUUAUAGAUCAGAAAUUAAAAGAUAGCAAAAUAGUAGAUCGGAAACUUAUAUGAUGGAAAAUAGAUCAGGGGGCCAUAGGUUUCACUAGAGGCUUCUCUCAAGAUAGCAAAUAAUACGGUGGGUGAACAAAUUACCGUCGAGCAAUUGAUAGAAAAACGCAAAGUUAUGACGAUAUCUAAGGCAAUGAUUAUGAAAUAUAGGCAUCACGUCCAUGUCAAGUAGACUGACUCCUACCUGCAUCUACUACUAUUACUCCACACAUCGACCGACUCCUGCCUGCAUCUAGAGUAUUGAGUUCAUGAAGAACACAGUAACGCUUUAAGUAAGAUGACAUGAUGUAGAUGAAUAAACUCAAGCAAUAUGAUGUAAACCCCAUCUUUUUAUCCUCGAUGGCAACAAUACAAUACGUGACUUGCUGCCCCUACUGUCACUUGGAAAGGACACCACAAGAUUGAACCCAAAGCUAAGCACUUCUCCCAUUGCAAGAAAAACUAAUCUAGUUGGCCAAACUAAACCGAUAGUUCAAAGAGAAUUACAAAGAUAUCAAAUCAUGCAUAUAAUAAUUCAGAGAAGAUUCAAAUAGUAUUCACAGAUAAGCUGAUCAUAAAUCCACAAUUCAUUGGAUCUCGACAAACACACUGCAAAAGAAGAUUACAUUGGAUAGAUCUCCAAGAAAAUCAAGGAGAACAUGGUAUUGAGAAUCAAAGAGAGAGAAGAAGCCAUCUAGCUACUAGCUAUGGACCCUUAGGUGUGUGGUAAACUACUCACGCUUCAUCGGAAGCGCAAUAGAGUUUAUUUAGAAGCCCCCAUGGUCAAAUCCCCCUCCGGUAGGAUGCCGGAAAAGGCCCCAAGAUGGGAUAUCACGGGAACAGAAGGUUGCGGCGGUGGAAAAGUGUUUUCUUGGAUGCUUCUGGUGGUUUGGGAAUAUAUGUGAAUAUAUAGGAGGAAGAUCUAGGUCAGGGGGUCACCAAGGGGCCCACAAGGUAGGGGGCACGCCCUACCCCCUAGGCGCGCCCUCCACCCUUGUGGCCGCCUCGUGGUUCUUCUGACUUGCAAUCCAAGUCUCCUGGGUGUCUUCUGGUCCAAGAAAAAUCAUCGCAAAGGUUUUAUUCUAUUUGGACUCUGUUUGGUAUUCCUUUUCUGUGAAGCUCAAAAACAAGGAAAAAACAGAAACUGGCACUCGGCUCUAGGUUAACAGGUUAGUCCCAAAAAUAAUAUAAAAUAGCAUAUUAAUGCAUAUAAAACAUCCAAAACAGAUAAUAUAAUAGCAUGGAACAAUAAAAAAUUAUAGAUAUGUUGGAGACGUAUCAAGCAUCCCCAAGCUUAAUUCGUGCUCCUCCUUGAGUAGGUAAAUGAUAAAACAGAAUUUUUGAUGUGGAAUGCUACCUAGCAUAUUUAUCCAUGUAAUUUUUAUUUAUUGUGGCAUGAAUGUUCAGAUCCAUAAGAUUCAAAACAAAAGUAUAAUAUUGACAUAAAAACAAUAAUACUUCAAGCACACUAACAAUGCAAUUAUGUCUUCUCAAAAUAACAUGGCCAAAGAAAGCUAUCCCUACAAAAUCAUACAGUCUGGCUAUGCUCCAUCUUCAUCACACAAAAUAUUCAAAUCAUGCACAACCCCGAUGACAAGCCAAGCAAUUGUUUCAUACUUUUGGUGAACUCAUUCUUUUGGUGAACACAUAAAUCACCACUUUUUGUACUAUUGUGAACUCAUUCUUUAUUUAUAUUGGUGUAAUAUAUACUGUAUUCCAACUUCUCCAUGGUUCAUACCCCCCCGUACUACCCAUAGAUUCAUCAAAAUAAGCAAACAACACAUAGAAAACAGAAUCUGUCAAAAACAGAAUAGUCUUAUGUAACUCCAAAAUUCUGAAAAAUUAGGACAAGAGAGGAAAAUUUAUACCAAUCUUAUGUAAAAAGAAUUAGUAUUUUAUCAUGUUUCUGUGAUUUUUAACAAUUCUAGGACUGAGCGCAAAAGUUUCUGUUUUUCAGCAAGAUCAAAUCAACUAUCACCGUAAGCUAUCCCAAAGAUCUUACUUGACACAAACACUAAUUAAAACACAAAAACACAUCUAACCAGAGGUUAGAUGAAUUAAUUAUUGAAUAAUAGCAAGGAAAAAUAUUGGGUUGUCUCCCAACAAGCGCUUUUCUUGAAAGCCUUUUAGCUAGGCAUUGAUAAUUUUAAUGAUGGUCACAUGAAAGAUAGCAAUUGAAACACGAAGAGAGCAUCAUGUGAAAAACAAGUUUAAGUAUAACAUAAUUCAUAUGCAUUGGCAUUUUAUAGGCAAACAAAUAAUCAAGACAAGCAAAACCUAGCAUAUGUAAGGAAGAAGAAAGAAACAAUAGCAAUCACAACAAAACAAGAGGUAAUUUAGUAACAUGAAAAUUUCUAAAACCAUAUUUUCCUUUGUCAUAAUAAGUACAUGUGGAAUCAUACUCAAACUCAACAAUAUAGCUAUCACAUAACAUAUUCUCAACAUGAUCCACAUGCAUGCAAAGUUGACACUCUUCCAAAAUAGUGGGAUUAACAUUAACUAAAGUCAUGACCCCUCCAAACCCACUUUUAUCAAAAAAUUCAUAACAUUGAUCAUACUCCAAAGUAGUGGGAUCAUUAUUACCUAGAGUUGACAUUAUUCCAAACCCACUUUCAAUAUUAUUGCCAACAUAGUCAUCAUGAGGCUUAAAUCAAUUUUCAAGAUCAUAAGAAAAAUCACCCCAAUCAUGAUCAUUGCAACAAGUAGUGGACAUAGCAAAAUUUGCAUCCCCAAGCUUAAGGUUUUGCAUAUUAUUAGCACAAUUGACAUAGAAUUUGUAAUAACAUCAUUGCAAUCAUGCUUUUUAUUCAAAGAUCUAUCGUGAAUCACUUCAUAAAGCACUUCAUCACAAUUUUAGAUUCACGGAUUUCAAGCAAAACAUCGUAAAGAUAAUCUAGUGCGCUCAACUCACUAGCAAUUGGUUCAUCAUAGUUGGAUCUUUUAAAAAUAUUAGCAAGUGGAUGAGGAUCCAUAAAAUCUUUGCUUCUGAUCUUCAAUAAACACACAAUUAUACCAAGUAAACGAGCAAACAAACCAAGUAAGACAUAAGGGUAAAUGAAAAGAUGAACAAAAGAAGGCAAAUAAAAAGGCAAAUCUUUUCAAAAAUCAUUUUAGAAGUGGGGGAGUGGAAAACAAGAGGAAAAUGGCGAAUAAUGCAAUGCAAGAGAUGAGAGUUUUAUGAUGGGUACUUGGUAUGUCUUGACUUGGCGUAGAUCUCCCCGGCAACGGCGCCGGAAAUUCUUCCUGCUAUGAUACGUCCAUUUUGCAUCAUGCUUUUAUAUUGAUAUUUAUUGCAUUAUGGGUUGUUAUUACACAUUAUGUCACAAUACUUAUGCCUUUUCUCUCUUAUUUUACAAGGUUUACAUGAAGAGGGGGAAUGCCGGCAGCUGGAAUUCUGGGCUGGAAAAGGAGCAAAUAUUAGAGACCUAUUCUGCACAGCUCCAAAAGUCCUGAAACUUCACGGAAGUUAUUUUUGGAAUUAAGAAAAAAUACUGAAGAAAGAAUCCACCAGAGGGGGCCCACACCUUGGCCAUGAGGGUGGGGCGCGCCCUACCACCCUGGGCGCGCCCCCUGCCUCGUGGGCCCCCUAACAGGCCUCCGGUGCCCAUCUUCUGCUAUAUGAAGUCUUUCGUCCGAGAAAAAAAAUCAUAAGCAAGCUUUCAGGAAGAAGCUCCGCCGCCACGAGGCGGAUCCUUGGCAGAACCAAUCUAGGGCUCCGGCAGAGCUGUUCUGCCGGGGAAACUUCCAUCCGGGAGGGGGAAAUCAUCACCAUCGUCAUCACCAACGAUCCUCUCAUCAGGAGGGGGUCAAUCUCCAUCAACAUCUUCACCAGCACCAUCUCAUCUCAAACCCUAGUUCAUCUCUCGUAUACACUCUUUGUAUCCAAACCUCAAAUUGGUACCUGUGGGUUGCUAGUAGUGUUGAUUACUCGUAGUUGAUGCUAGUUGGUUUACUUGGUGGAAGAUCAUAUGUUUAGAUCCAUUAUGCAUAUUAAUACCCCUCUGAUUAUGAACAUGAAUAUGCUUUAUGAGUAGUUAUGUUUGUUCCCGAGGACAUGGGAGAAGUCUUGCUGUAAGUAGUCGUGUGAAUUUGGUAUUCAUUCGAUAUUUUGAUGAGAUGUAUGUUGUCAUCCCUCUUGUGGUGUCAUGUGAACGUCGACUACAUGACAAUUCACCAUUGUUUGGGCCUAGAGGGAGGCAUUGGGAAGUAAUAAGCAGAUGAUGGGUUGCUAGAGUGACAAAAGCUUAAACCCUAGUUUGUGCAUUGCUUCGUAAGGGGCUAAUUUGGAUCCAUAUGUUUCAUGCUAUGGUUAGGUUUACCUUAAUACUUCUGUUGUAGUUGUGGAUACCUGCAAUGGGGGUUAAUCAUAAGUGGGAUGCUUGUCCAAGUAAGGACAGUACCAAAGCAACGGUCCACCCACACAUCAAAUUAUCAAAGUACCGAACGCGAAUCAUAUGAACGUGAUGAAAACUAGCUUGACGAUAAUUCCCAUGUGUCCUCGGGAGCGCUUUCCUUCAUAUAAGAGUUUGUCUAGGCUUGUCCUUUGCUACAAAAAGGAUUGGGCCAUCUUGCUGCACCUUAUUUACUUCUAUUACUUGCUACUCAUUACAAAUUACCUUAUCACAAAACUAUCUGUUACCGAUAAUUUCAGUGCUUGCAGAGAAUAGCUUACUGAAAACUGCUUAUCAUUUCCUUCUGCUCCUCGUUGGGUUCGACACUCUUGCUUAUCGAAAAGGCUACGAUAGACCCCCUACACGUGUGGGUCAUCAAAACUCUUUUCUAGCGCCGUUGCUGGUGUGACGCCCCCGAUUUAAUCGUACACUAAUCAUACACGCAAACGUGUACGAUCAAGAUCAGGGACUCACGGGAAGAUAUCACAACACAACUCUACAAAUAAAAUAAGUCAUACAAGCAUCAUAUUACAAGCCAGGGGCCUCGAGGGCUCGAAUCCAAGAGCUCGAUCAUAGACGAGUCAACGGAAGCAACAAAAUUUGAGUACGGACAUAAGUUAAACAAGUUUGCCUUAAGAAGGCUAGCACAAACUGGGAUACAUAUCGAAAGAGGUGCAGGCCUCCUGCCUGGGAUCCUCCUAAACUACUCCUGGUCGUCAUCAGCGGGCUGCAUGUAGUAGUAGGCACCUCCAGUAUAGUAGGAGUCGUCAUCAACGGUGGCGUCUAGAUCCUGGGCCCCAACAUCUGGUCGCAGCAAUCUGGUAUAGGAAAGGGGAAAAGGGGGAGAAAAGCAACCGUGAGUACUCAUCCAAAGUACUCGCAAGCAAGGAGCUACACUACAAAUGUAUGCAUUGGUAUCAAAUGGAAAAGGGGGUAUCAUAUGUGGACUGAACUGCAGAAUGCCGGAAUAAGAGGGGGAUAGCUAGUCCUAUGGAAGACUAUGCUUCUGGUAACCUCCAUCUUGCAGUAGUGGAAGAGAGUAGAUGGUAAGUUCACCAAGUAGCAUCGCAUAGCAUAAUCCUAACCAAUGAUCCUCCCCUCAUCGCCCUAUGAGAGAGCGAUCACCGGGUUGUAUCUGGCACUUGGAAGGGUGUGUUUUAUUAAGUAUCCGGUUCUAGUUGUCAUAAGGUCAAGGUACAACUCCAAGUUGUCCUAUUACCAAAGAUCACGGCUAUUCGAAUAGAUUAACUUCCCUGCAGGGGUGCACCACAUAACCCAACACGCUCGAUCCCAUUUGGCCGGACACACUUUUUUGGGUCAUGCCCGGCCUCCGAAGAUCAACACGUCGCAACCCUACCUAGGCACAACAGAGAGGUCAGCACGCCGGUCUAAAUCCUAUGGCGCAGGGGUCUGGGCCCAUCGCCCUUUGCACACCUGCAUGUUGCGAACGCGGCUGGAAGCAGACCUAGCCUAGCAGGCGUUCCAGUCCAAUCCGGCGUGCGCCGCUCAGUCGCUGACGUCAUGAAGGCUUCGGCUGAUACCACGAUGUCGAGUGCCCAUAACUGUCCCCGCAUAGAUGGUUAGUGCGUAUAAGCCAGUAGCCAGACUCAGAUCAAAUACCAAGAUCUCGUUAAACAUGUUAUUCUGAAAUAACCACGGACGCCGACCAGGGCCAGGCCCACCUCUCUCCAAGGCGGUCUCAACCUGCCCUGUCGCUCCGCCACAAAGUAACAGUCGGGGGCCUUCGAGAACUCAUGCCCACCUCUAUCGGGAUGGAGCCACCUGCCCCUUCAGCCCCCAACAUCGGAAUCACUCACGGGUACUCCUACGAGCUGACCUGACUUUAACCACCACAAGUAUCAUAUAUUAUGUAUAAGUAUAUACCCGUGACCACCUCCCAAGUGAUCAUGGCCCGAUAGUAUAGCAUGGCAGACAGACAAGAAUGUAGGGCCACUGAUGGUAAACUAGCAUCCUAUACUAAGCAUUUAGGAUUGCAGGUAAGGUAUCAACAGCUGGAGCAACAAUGACAGGCUAUGCAUCAGAAUAGGAUUAACGGAAAGCAGUAACAUGCUACACUACUCUAAUGCAAGCAGUAGAGGGAAGAGUAGGCGAUAUCUGGUGAUCAAAGGGGGGGCUUGCCUGGUUGCUCUGGCAAGAGAGAGGGGUCGUCAACACCGUAGUCAUUCUGGGUAGUAGCAGCGUCGGUCUCGGUGUCUAGCGAGAGAAGAGGGGGAAGAAACAAUAAAUAUAAUGCAAACAAAUACAUGACGAUGCAUGACAUGACAAAGCGUGAUGCUAGGCGUGCCCUAACGCGGUACGAGGUGGACCGGUGAAGGGGGGAAACAUCCGGGAAAUUAUCCCCGGUGUUUCGUGUUUUCGGACAGAUGAAUCGGAGGGGGAAAGUUGUGUGUUCGCUAUACUAGGGAUGUGUGGCGGACGAACGAGCUGCGUAUCCGGAUUCGUCCCGUCGUUCUGAGCAACUUUCAUGUUGAAAAUAAUUUAAUCCGAGUUACAGAUUAAAAGAUAUGAUUUUCUAAAGAUUUACUAAUUUCUGGAAUUUAAUAACUAUUUAAUUUUAUUUGAAAAUGGAUUUAUGACAUUAGCAUGUUGUUAUGCUGACAUCAGCAGUCAACAGGGGUUGACUGGUCAACCUGACCAGUGGGUCCUACUGGUCAGUGACACAUUUUAAUUAAACAUAUCUAUUAACCUAAUCAGGAUUAAUUAGGGGUGGGUGAAAGUGCGUUAUAUCGACUAGAGGGGGGUGAAUAGGCAAUUUUUAUGAAAGUCUUCAAAACAUGGGAGUUAUGAAGACAAACAGCGAAGAUUAUGCCUAUUACUAUGCAGCGGAAGUUAGAUUACACUAGGCCAGCCAUGGUCAAGUAUUCAAUAGAGUGAAAGCACAACGACAAACAGCUGCAGUGUAAUAAGGAUCAGGUAGAAAGAAGUUAUGAAGCCAAACAGAUCAUACAUUCAUGUUGUGAAGACAAAAGAUAAAGCAAGCAUGCAAUGUCUUCAUAAUGAGUAACAGCAAGAAAAGGAAGUGAAGAUGAAACCAGUGACUCGUUAAAGACAAUGAUAUGUUGGACCAGUUCCAGUUGCUGUGACAACUGUACGUCUGGUAGGAGCGGCUAGGUAUUUAAACCUUAGGACACACAGUCCCGGACACCCAGUCCUGAACACACAAUUCAGGACACCAAGUCCUCACCGUAUUCUCCUUGAGCUAAGGUCACUUAGUCCUCGCCCAAUCACUCUGGUAAGUCUUCAAGGUAGACUCCCAAACCUUCACAAACUUCGUUCACCGGCAAUCCACAAUGUCUCUUGGAUGCUCUGAACGCAACGCCUAACCGUCUGGAGGAUUCACAGUCCUCAAGUGUAAUAAGUCUUCAGAUCACACAGACAAGAAGACUUAAGUGAUGCCCAAUUUACUCUGGCUCUGGGUGGUUAGGGCUUUUCUCCUCACUAGGAAUUUUCUCUCAAAGGCUUCGAGGUGGGUUGCUCUCAAACGACAAAAGCCGUGCACUGAAAUCUGAGCAGCCAACCGUUUGUGGUUGUGGAGGUGGGCUAUUUAUAGCCACUUGGCAACUCGACCUGAUUUGUCCGAAAUGACCCUGGGUCACUAAGGAACUGACACGUGUUGCAACGGUCAGAUUUCAAACUCUCAUGGCAACUUUACUUGGGCUACAAGCAAAGCUGACUUGUCCGGCUCUGGACAAGAUUCGCUCUCAUUGUCUUCGCUCGAAGACAUAGGUUUUCGAUUUAGGCAUCACUUCAGUCAUUCUGACUGGUUCUCCUGGACCCCACUUAAUAGUACGGUGGUUCCUAUGACUCAACACAAAAGAAAAGGAACUACGAAAGAUCUAAGUCUUCGAGCUCCAUAGGCUUCAUAACGUGUCUUCCUUUGUCAAAGUCUUCAAUGUGAAUAUCUUCAUAUACCACCUUUGUCUUCAAUGUCUUCAUACAUUUUUAGGGGUCAUCUCUGGUAGUAAAACCGAAUCAAUGAGGGACUUCUACCUGUGUUUUCCUGCAAUUCUCACAAACACAUUAGUCCCUCAACUAGGUUUGUCGUCAAUAUUCCAAAACCAACUAGGGGUGGCAGAUGCACUUACAAUCUCCCCCUUUUUGGUGAUUGAUGACAAACUAGUUGAAGUUUUCAAUGGGGAAUAUAAUGUGUGAAGUUUGUAAAGGGUAGGGAAUUGUCAUCAUAAGUUGCAAAGGCUCCCCCUGAAGAUGUGCAUAUAGAUUAAUUUUCUUUUGGAAUGCAAAUGCACAUGGCAGGUUGUACUUGAGGAGAUCCUCUUCAGCUUAUGAUGAUAAUCCACUAUGCAUGUGAAAGUAUAUGAAGAUAAUGACAUGCAUAAUGGAAAAUGGACGUCUGCAGAAUGAGAUAAGUGCGGAAUUUAUCAUCGCACAUGCGGAAUUUAUCUUCGCAAACAGAGUGGCAAACAAGUAGCAGACGACCAUCGAGUUUUAGUGUUUACAACUCAAAGAACCAAAUAAAGUAAAAGCAAGAGUUGUAAACACGAGGCAAACUAUAACAAAACAUAAGGCACCUGCCCAUAUUGACCCGCUUGAAGACUAUAAACAUCAUAUGCUUCUCCCCCUUUUGUCAGUAAUGACCAAAAAGGUUUGAAGACAUAGAGUUUUCUACGCGUUCCCAGGCGCAGCAGGGUUGGUGGAGUUGUUUGGCAGUGCAGAACUUGGAUGUGCUGAAGCAGAUGGUGGUGAUGUAGCAUCGUCGUCUUCAUCAAUGAUCCUUGCAGUAACUGUGGCAGCAGAUGAAGAAAACUCAGAGUCUUCAAGUGACGGUGUGUUGCGCAUCACAGCCCUUCUCGGAGGUGUGGUGUCAAAUUUGAAGCGCUCUGUGAAGCCAUCCUCUUCAAGUUCAGCUUCAGUGCAUAUCAUUGAGAGCCCUUUCCAUGUACGACGGCACGUCUCAUGAGUGACAAAAGCAUUCUUGGUGGCUAGGUUUCGAAGACGAUUGACAUCCACCAAGAGGCUCUUCAUCUGACGCUUUAGCCAGUCGUGAUGCCUAUCUUGCUUUUGGUGAAGGGCCACAAGAAGCUCUCGGUCAGUGAGGACAUGAGCACGCUUCUUGGGUCUUGGAGCAUUUGUGCUGUCUGUGGCUUCAGUAGAUGCUGGUGCACGUGUAGUGCCAUCCAACGGAUAUACCCUGGAUAUGGCUUCAACACCUUCAAGAUUCUGCAUGAAGCUCUGGUGUUCUGCAUUCUGAAGACUUAUCGGUUGUUUGGCAGCCUCAGGGUAUAUUGCUUCAGUAGAGGUAUCCACAUCUGGCAAGAAGAUCCGAUGGUUUCGGGCAGAGGGCUGAUACGAGAUCGCAGAGUGCAGUUUGAUUAGCCUCAUCACCCAAGGAGCAUAGAACUUCAAACCAAAUAAUUCUGAGCCUGACGCUGCAAGUUGACGUAUGAAGAAAUCCUGUGCAUUGAACCAUUUGCCAUGAAGGAUACAGAAUAUCAUAGUCUUCAUUGCACCCUCGAUCUUGGCGUGUGGUGAGUGUCCCUUAAUGGGCCAGAGAGUCCGCCGGAUGAUGUGAUAUAUGGUCCUGGGCAGGUACUCUAGGUCUUCAACGAAGAACUCAGUUGGAUAGGGUGCAUCCUGAGGCAAUGGCUUCAUCAUUGAGAGCAUCUGACUCAUAUUUGGUUCAGUCCUCUGGAAUAUGCUCGCAAUAGCUUCAACAUGUAGUUGACAUCCUUCCUCAUAGUAUUCGCCAGGAGUGGGCAGGCCGGUGAGCUCAAUGAUAUCGAAUGCAUUGGCUUCAUGAUGGACAUUUCCGGUCAUCCACUCCAGGACCCAAGUCAUCGGAUCUCUGUUGUAUCCUUUAAUGUGGAGGGUGGCAUAGAACUGAAGCAGAAGCUCUUCAUUCCAGUGCUCUUCAUCUGUGACAAACGGAAGCAGACCCACUUGCCUGAAGCAAUCCAAGGCUUCCUCAAGACAUGGCAGACCAGCAAUGGCUUCAACCUCAAGGCACUUGUGGGGAAAGAUGCGACCUUGGUUGUAUAAGAUGCAUGAGUAAUAGCUGCGCUAAGAAUAGCUCCAGAACCUGUCUGAUACAAUCCUUUCCCUUGAAUAGGGGUUCUUGGAGCUACUGAAAAAUGUAUUGUCUGCCUUGAAGCUGUUGAUGUCAAAGGAACCAGGUGCUGAUGCAGGACCUGGGAACCUUGGAAGCCUUGGGACUGGCUUCUGGACAUGAGGCCCGUGCUCAAUAUGAUAAUCGAAUUGAGGACCUGCAGCAGACUCAGGAACAGAAGUGUCUGGCUCGGUAGCUUCGCUGUCCGCUGAAGCAUUUGGUGGGGCGGGCUUCACAUUGGCUUCAGUGUUUGUGGUGGGAGCCGCAACAUUUUCUUCCUCCGCUUGUGUAGUUGGAGGGACAACCUCAGGCACGUUCUCAUGGAGAACUGCAUCUUGAUGGAGCGGGGAAGUGGGUUCUGGUGGUGCUUCUUCAUUGUCUUCGGCUGAUGCAGCCGGAAUUUCUGCAGUAUGGACUUGAGGCCGUGGACCUUUGCGAAGCCUACGGAACGCAGACGACGCUUGUGGGGUCGGAGUGGGCUGAACCUCAAAGUCUUCUUCCUCCUGAGGGCGAUCCGCCCAUGACUCAUCUUGUGCCAUUGGCGUCAGAGGACGACCAAUACUGAUGAGUUCGCUUGUUUCAAGCUGAGGAAGGGUUGCAUCAUCUUGUACAUUGUCUUGAUGACCAAUGUCUUCAGCAGCUAUUGGGUCGGCUGCUGGUAUGUCUUCAGCUUUAGGAGCCUCCGUGGGAGCAGGCUCAUGAACUGUCAGUCUUCUUUCUGCAUUGGGUUGAAGGACAGAGAGAGGUUCAACCAUCAAGGGCUCUGUGGGAGAAGCCCGAGAUUUCUUGAUCUUGUACUUCUUUUUGCUAGGGGCAAUAGGAGAGGCUUCAGUGCUCUUCCUUUUUCUGGCUUCAGCCUCUGCAGUUCUUGUCUUCUUUAGCUCUGAAGCUGUUGACCGGCUCUUUGGCUUCGAGCCAGUCGUUGCAGUGGGGAAGACAAUUUGAACCGCUUCUUGCCUAGGUGCCUCUGGUUCAUUCACAGAUGGCUCCUUCUUCUUCUUCGCGGCUAUCUUGGGUUCGAUGCCAGGACGCCCAAGUGCCUUGCGCUUUUCAGCCUCGUUGUAGGCUUGAACACAUUUGUCUGCCAAAGACUUCAUCCUUUCACGCGAGCCCUGAGCUUCAGCAUGCUUCUUCAGAAAGUUUUCUUUGAGCUCAUGCAGCAUGAUUUUGAAGCUCCUCACUUCCUGCACGCUGAGGCUGGCCAUGUGCUUCUUGAACUGAGCCUUUUCGUGAUCAAUUUUCUGCUUCAGCUCAACAAUGUGCUGAGCAAUGGCCAGUUCUGAAGCAAUUGCACCUUGGAAGGCGACACUGAGGCCAACUGGCAGCUGCAGAUCAUUGAAGCUUAUGUCUGGUGAUUCAAACCAUUCAUCGAUGAAGCUGUGGAUGAUGGCGACAUCAAAGAGAGGCAGAUUGUUGAAGAUUUCAGCUUCUUCUUUGCUUUUGAUAAGCUGCUCUAGAGCGUCAUCUCCCAGAUCUUCAUCGCUUGAUAGAUCAAUGGCUUCGCUGCGCAGAAUGGCAGCAGCAGUGAGCUCUUUGCCUGUUUGUUGCUGGGGCUCCUUUUCCUUCUGGGGCUUGGAGACGCGGGAUACGUCUUCAGACUGCACACUGACUUCAGGAGGUGCAGUUUUCAAAGGCUUCGCCCUUGAGAUUCUUGAGGCAGGGGCCGGCUUUGAAGCUUUUGGUUUCUUCGUCUGCUUUGGCUUCGGCACAACAGGAGCUUCAUCAGACUCAGAGACAGCUGGAGGGUCAUUCACGGCAGUCCCUUGUACUAAGAUGUGAGUGAUCAGGCCCUCAAGAUUGGCAAAAGGACCGAUGAUAUUGGGUUUGGCGUCGCGUGUUCCAUCUGCCCUUGGUGAGGAGGGACCAGGGUUGAAGUCUAACCCGAAUUUCUUCUUGUUUAGCUUCGCUGACUUUUGGGCAAACUGGAAGUUGCGCUUGAAGAGAUUGUCGUCACGACACCAGAGGAGUGACGACGGAUGCGCAUCAUCAGGCUGUGGUCCUCGGACCAUGCAUGGGUAGAAGCCUUGCGCAAUGGCUUCAUCUUUGGUUCUGGGUAAGAGGUUCUUGAAAUGGAUAUCCCCCCAUGGCCUCUUGAUGGCAUAUUUCUCUGCAUACUCCUGAGUGACGAAGCGGUAUUUGAACCACUGUUCUGCCCAAUAGCGUCGAAUCCAUUGGAUUCGGGUCUUGCGCUGCCCAUAGCUCUCUUCUGGAUCUGUUUUGUACAUUUCUGCCAAGUCUUCAGGCAGAUCUUUGGAAGUUCCCUCACGUCUCUGUCUGCCCUCCUUCCUUGCUGCUGCUUCUGAAGCCAUAAACUUUAACUUGAAAGGCUUCAAAACUUUCAAAGGCUUCAAAGGAUUUCUUUUUCUGGACCAACAGGAACUGGCUUCAGGAGAGUUUAUGUGAUGCUGUAGGAAUUCUGCAAAUGAAUGCAGACUAUGAGAACCGAAGGAUUCUCCCACAGACAUGUACCUGUGACAACAUUAAGGUGCGAGGGAAGGGGAAGAGGUCAUAUGCAUUCUCAGAAGGUUUUGAAGAUUAGUCAGUUUAGAAGACAUUGACCUCAUCGUGCGAAGACAUUCACUCAUAGAUAAGAAGUUGGUUCCAGAUUUGUACGAACCCACAUAUCAGUACAAGUGAGGAAUCUAACUACUUUAUGAAGCACAAGUGAAUAUACUAGGCAUGUUAUGAGAUGCAGCGAGAGAUCUAACUAGUGUGAAGAGAAACUUCUUAUGGUAGAAAGUGACAGAACCAUGAGAUCAAAGGGGCUGUAAAAAGAAGUUUUAUUUACCACACUGGAACUGCUAGACGGAAGGGAGUUGAUGCCGAGCAGUUCAGUCCUCUGUGCCCUAACUUGGCGACGGAAAACACCUACGGCGACGGCGGAGAGGACGAUGUCCGCGGUCGGCUUGGGGAUGGCGUUGGAGAGGUUGCGGCAGUGAAGCGCUUCGUCUCCGGCGUCGUCGAGUGCUAGCGGUGGCGCUAGGGUUCGUGUGAGGGUGGAAGAAUAUAAUGACUGCAGUAAGUGUGAACUUCUAGGCGUAGGGGCGGCACUGUGCUAUUACACAGGUGCCCCUGGCGGUUCGCAUUUGAGGAACGCGUGGCCAGUUAGCAGAUGUUUGGGGUUUGUUCCACGUCCUACGCAUGCCUAAAUUGUCGGGCGGUCGUUCCUGCUUCUCCGGAUUUUAUGUGGAGGAAUGAGCAUUAAAGACGGACUUUAUGGUUGUCUCUAUAUCCUCAGCUGACGCAGUGAAGACAUUCGACAGUUUCAAUAGAAUGAAUAUGACUUGGAGAGAUAGAUUUUGAGAUAGAAAGCAUAGAGAGAUUAGGGUCCGAUCACAUUCACUUAGUUCAAAAGAUUCAACCAACGAGACAUAGCUAUAAGUGAAUGCUGUAGAGGACAGAACACCAGCAUANNNNNNNNNNNNNNNNNNNNNNNNNNNNNNNNNNNNNNNNNNNNNNNNNNNNNNNNNNNNNNNNNNNNNNNNNNNNNNNNNNNNNNNNNNNNNNNNNNNNNNNNNNNNNNNNNNNNNNNNNNNNNNNNNNNNNNNNNNNNNNNNNNNNNNNNNNNNNNNNNNNNNNNNNNNNNNNNNNNNNNNNNNNNNNNNNNNNNNNNNNNNNNNNNNNNNNNNNNNNNNNNNNNNNNNNNNNNNNNNNNNNNNNNNNNNNNNNNNNNNNNNNNNNNNNNNNNNNNNNNNNNNNNNNNNNNNNNNNNNNNNNNNNNNNNNNNNNNNNNNNNNNNNNNNNNNNNNNNNNNNNNNNNNNNNNNNNNNNNNNNNNNNNNNNNNNNNNNNNNNNNNNNNNNNNNNNNNNNAUACAGGCAACAUAGUGAAGAUAAUCAUGAAGACAUGUUCGAAGCCAAACCAAAUGUGAAGACAACCAAAUGUGAAGAUAUUGCAAGGUAACGCCAUAAGUGAAACACUUAAAAAUAGAACGUUUGGUGGUGGCGUUACCCACCGUAUAGGAAGUAUUAGACCCAGACACGGCGCACAAUUCUUGUGGCGCUCCGAAGUCAAAUUCCACAUUAAUGUAUUCACACUUAGAAUGUAUGUCUUCAUUGAAUGAAGAUAUACUUUACUUUGUGUGUUGCACAUCUAAGUCAUCAAUAUGCAUAAGUGUUAGGAUGUGUGCCUGAUCACAGGACAUUUGAGGAUUCCAAAAUAUUUAGCUCACACCGUAACUUGCAAAAUCUCUUCUCAUCCAAGGGCUUGGUGAAGAUAUCCGCCAAUUGCUCUUCAGUGUUGACGUGUAUGAUAUCAAUAUCUUCCUUCACAACAUGAUCUCUGAGAAAGUGAUGACGAAUUUCAAUGUGCUUUGUCUUCGAGUGCUGAACUGGGUUGUUGGCAAUCUUGAUGGCGCUUUCGUUGUCGCAGUAAAGUGGCACUUGCUUUAGAUGAAUGCCAUAGUCCUUGAGUGUUUGCUUCGUCCACAGAAGCUGAGCGCAGCAAGAUCCAGCAGCAAUGUAUUCAGAUUCAGCAGUGGAAAGAGAUACACAGUUCUGCUUCUUUGAAGACCAACAUACAAGUGAUCGUCCCAGAAAGUGACAUGUGCGUGAUGUAGACUUGCGAUCAACCUUGUCACCAGCAUAAUCAGCAUCCGAAAAUCCAACCAAAUCAAACUCUGAGCCCUUUGGAUACCAUAAUCCUAGAGUUGGGGUGUGAGCCAAAUAUCGAAGAAUUCGCUUCACAGCUAAGUGAUGCGACUCCUUUGGUGCCGCUUGAAAUCGAGCACACAUGCAAACACUAAGCAUAAUAUCUGGCCUAGAUGCACAUAAAUAAAGCAAAGAACCAAUCAUGGAGCGGUAUACCUUUUGAUCGAACUCUUUACCAUUGUCGUCAGGACCUAGAUGAUGUUUGGCUGGCAUUGGUGUUGUGAAGCCUUUGCAGUCUUGCAUGCCAAACUUCUUCAGGCAAUCUAUGAGAUACUUCUCUUGAGAUAUGAAGAUGCCAUUGCGUUGUUGUCGUAUUUGAAGACCAAGGAAGAACUUCAGCUCCCCCAUCAUGGACAUCUGAUAUUGCUCUUGCAUCAUAUAUCCAAACUCUUCACUGUACUUCUGAUUAGUGCAGCGAAGAUAAUGUCAUCCACAUAGAUUUGGCACAUAAACAGUUCACCAUCAUAUGUCUUCGUGAAAAGAGUGGGAUCCAGGGAACCAGGUAUGAAGCCUUUGCUCUUCAGGAAGUAUUUGAGUGUGUCAUACCAGGCCCUAGGGGCUUGUUUGAGGCCAUACAGUGCCUUGUUGAGCUUGUAUACCAUGUCAGGAUGUUUUGGAUUUUCAAAGCCAGGUGGUUGUGCAACAUACACUUCUUCUUCAAUCUUGCCAUUGAGAAAGGCGCUUUUCACAUCCAUUUGAUAUAGAAGUAUGUUAUGAUGAUUUGCAUAAGCCAGCAGUAUGCGUAUAGCUUCAAGCCUUGCCACAGGAGCAAAUGUUUCAUCGAAGUCAAUGCCCUCCACUUGAGUAUAUCCUUGAGCAACAAGACGAGCUUUGUUUCUAACAACUUGACCAUGCUCAUCUUGCUUGUUGCGGUAUAUCCAUUUGGUGCCUAUUAUGUUGUGCUUCCAUGGAUCAGGACGCUUAACCAGUUCCCAUACAUUAUUCAGCUCAAACUAUUGAAGCUCUUCUUGCAUAGCUUGAAUCCAUUCAGGUUCCAUGAAGGCUUCUUCAACUUUCUUGGGUUCUGAUAUUGAGACGAAUGCGAAGUGCCCACAGAAGUUUGCUAGCUGAGUUGCCCUUGAACGAGUGAGUGGACCAGGUGCAUUGAUGCUGUCAAUUAUUCUGUUAAUCUGCACUUCAUUUGCAACGCGAGGAUGCAUAGGGCAAAGACUUUGCUCUUGCUGAUCUGCGUUGUUGUUGGGAGGAAUGUCUUCAGGCUGAGCAUUGUCUUCAUGUUGAUCAGGUGCUGAGAUGAUAAGUUCUUCUUCAGGAUGAGCUUCAGAAGGUAUAAUCUCUCCAGUUCCCAUAAGCUUGAGUGAUUCACUAGCAGGAACUUCAUCUAGCACAUUUGGCAGUUGCUCUCUUUGUGAACCAUUUGUCUCAUCAAACCGCUUCCACUGUUUCAACCACUUUGUAAUGGAAGAGAUUGAAGACUCUGUAGGAGUGUGAAUCCUUUCCAUAUCCUAGCAUAAAGCCCUCAUGUGCUUUUGGUGCAAACUUUGAGGUGUGGUGUGGGUCCUUGAUCCAGCACUUUGCGCCAAAUACUUUGAAGUAACUGACAGUUGGCUUCUUGCCAGUUAGGAGUUCAUAAGAUGUCUUGUUCAGAAGCUUGUGAAGAUAAACACGAUUGAUUGUAUGGCAUGCAGUGUCAAUGGCUUCAGUCCAGAAUUUUCUUGGAGUCUUGUAUUCAUCUAGCAUUGUUCUGGUCAUCUCAAUGAGUGUUCUGUUCUUGCGUUCGACGACGCCAUUCUGCUGUGGCGUGUACGGAGCUGAGAAUUCAUGUGUGAUGCCCAAGGUAUCAAGAUAUGUGUCAAGGCCAGUGUUCUUGAAUUCAGUGCCAUUGUCACUUCUUAUGUGCUUUAUCUUGGCGCUAAAAUUGUUCAUAGCUCGAUUGGUGAAGUGUCUGAAGACAUCCUGUACUUCAGUCUUGUAAAGGAUUAUGUGCACCCAAGUAUAUCUAGAGUAAUCAUCAACAAUCAUGAAGCCAUAGAGGCAAGCAGUAGCAGCAAAGGUUGAGUAGUGAGUGGGACCGAAGUGAUCCAUGUGGAGCAGUUCGAAGGGUUGUGUAGUAGUCAUGAUUGUCUUCGAAGGAUGUUUUGCCCUUGUCAUCUUCCCUGCUUCACAGGCACCGCAUAAGUGAUCUUUCUUGAACUUGACGCCCUCGAUGCCUAUGACAUGCUUCUUCUUCGCAAGGGUGUGGAGGUUCCUCAUGCCAGCAUGCCCAAGCCUCCGAUGCCAAAGCCAGCAUUCUGAGGCUUUUGCAAUAAGACAUACUGCAAGUUGUGGCCCUGCUGAGAAAUCUACCACGUACAGAUCAUCUUUUCGAUACCCUUCAAACACUAGAGACUUGUCAGAUUCCUUUAGUACUAGGCAACGAUAUUUUCCAAACAUUAUGAUCAUGUUCAAAUCGCAAAGCAUUGAGACAGACAUUAAGUUGAAGUCAAGGGAUUCAACAAGCAUGACUUUAUCCAUGUGUUGAUCCUUUGAGAUUGCAACUCUACCUAGACGCAAUACCUUACUUUUACCAGUGUCAGCAAAUGUGAUGUGGCUCUUGUCGGAUGGACGUAAGGUUGAGUCCAUAAGAAGGCUUCUUUUGCCAGUCAUGUGAUUUGUACACCCACUGUCAAUAAUCCAUUCUGAAGACUUUGAAGUCGCUGGUGUCGUACCCUACAGUGCAGUUAGGGGGAUAGGCUUCACGAAGAGAAUUGUGAAGCAAAAACAUUUGACGAACCAGUGGGUUAUGAAAACUUAGAUCCAGAUUAGGACUAAUAGGGAGAGUAGCAUGCGAUUCAGGAACGAGGUACAUAAUGAUGCCAUUCGGGCAUUUUAUCUUGCGCCCUACAAGAUUUUUAAGGUCCCCAGCAAUAGCGUCAGAAGAUUUUGUUUUUUUGCUGGAGACCUUUCCUUGCAAAAGAGAGUUAAGCUUUCUUAACCACCCACAUCUUCAAGGGUGGCUUAGAAGCAAUAAGUCUAAGUGCAGCAUCUGAGAAUUUUGGCUUUGAAGCCUUAGCAAACAGUCUAGCAGGUGGACAAUAAUACUCAUAGGAAUAAGCAGAAUAAUUUUUGGUCAUAUGAACAUGACGGUUCGAUGAACCGCUCUCAUAUUCAUAUGCCUGAGUAUGGUUUCCCUGCAAAACAUUUGUGUUAGUGUGACUCAGGUGAGUCCUCUGUUUGUAUGAAGCCAUUGGACCAUAUGAAGCCUUUGGUCUGAGGUUUGUCUUCUUCAAGUGAGGUGUCAUGAAGACAUUCACAGGAAGAUUUUCCAGACACUUUUUCAGAACCCAGAUCUUCUUCAUAGGCGGUCCAUUCCUGCAGCUAGUACCAAUGUACCUGGCAAACACUUCACCAUUCUGAUUCUUAAACAGUUUAUAGUUUGCAUCAAAGGAUUCAUCAAUGAUAAUGGGGUUAGCACAAGUGAAGCCAGAUAAAUUGGAUGGAUCUACUGAAAGUUCCUUUGCAGCAACCCAUGUGGUUUUGGGGUACUGCUCAGGUUUCCAGUAAGAGCCAUCUGCAUUUAUUUUCCUCACGAACCCAACACCCUCUUUCCUAGGGUUUCAGUUCAGAAUCUGCUUCUUGAGGACAUCACAUAAUGUCUGAUGUCCUUUAAGACUUUUGUACAUCCCUGUUUCAAGCAAUGUAUUCAACCUAGCAUUCUCAUCAGCAAUAGCAGUGGUAUCCUCAGCAGAGGGGUUAGUUACCACAUCAACAACUAAAGAUAUUGGAACAGCAGUAGCAGUGGAACAUUCAGCAACAGAAGUAGCAUUAUCACGCUCAAUGCAUUUAAUACAUGGUGUUUCAAAUCCUUCCUGAGCGGAACUGAUCUGUUCGGCGCGAAGUGACUCAUUUUCCUUUUGAAGAUCUUCAUGAGCCGCUCUCAAUUUCUCAAGUUCUUGCUUCCUUUAAAGAUAAUCAUAGGAAAGCUUCUCAUGAGUGGUUGAGAGAGUAUCAAGACGAUCUUCAAGUUCCUGAUACUUCACGCGAAGAUUUUUUAUGUCUUCAAUUAAGGAUUCAGAUCGAGUCAUUUCAGCACCCAACAGAUCGUCGCUUCUGUCUAACAGUUUUUAAAUAUGUUCCAUAGCUUUCUAUUGUUCAGUUGCAAUUUUAGCAAGUGUUUUGUAGCUGGGUUUUGAAUCACAGUCAGAGUCAUCGUCACUAGAUGUUUGAUAGCGAGUAGUGCGUGCGUUUACCUUGGCACCGCGUGCCAUGAAGCAGUAGGUAGGAGUGGAGUCGUUCUUGUUAUUUGCAUUGGUGUCGGUGAUGAAGUCAUUGUCUUCAGUGUUGAUGAUGGACUUGGCGACGUAUGCUGUAGCCAGACUCGCAAUGCCAGAAUCAGACUCCUCCUCAGACUCCACCUCUGCCUCCUCAGAAGCGGACUCCUCCUCUGAAUCCAUUUCCUUGCCAACAAACGCACGUGCCUUGCUAGAUGAGCUCUUCUUGUGUGAUGAAGACUUUGAGGAAGACUUGGAAGAAGACUUUGAGUAUUUCUUCUUCUUCUUGUCGUCAGAAUCAUAUUCCUUGCUCUUCUUCUUCCUUCUGUUCUCAUUGUCCCAUUGUGGACACUCAGAGAUGAAGUGUCCAGUUUUCUUGCACUUGUGACAUGUUUUCUUCUUGUAGUCAUGAGCAGAAGCUUCAUCAUUCCUUGAGCUUGAUCGUGAAGAUUUUCUGAAGCCUUUCUUCUUGGUGAAUUUUUGGAACUUCUUCACUAGCAUUGCAAGUUCUCUUCCAAUGUCUUCAGGAUCAUCAGAACAGCUGUCAGAUUCUUCUUCAGAUGAGGAAACAGCUUUUGCCUUCAAGGCACGAGUUCGCCCAUAGUUUGGACCGUAGAUAUCUCUUUUCUCAGAAAGCUAAAACUCAUGUGUGUUGAGCCUCUCAAGUAUGUCAGACGGAUCGAGUGUCUUGAAAUCAGGACGUUCUUGAAUCAUCAGGGCUAGGAUGUCAAACGAACUAUCAAGUGAUCUCAGCAGCGUCUUGACGAUUUCAUGUUUGGUGAUCUCAGUGGCGCCGAGGGCUUGAAGCUCAUUUGUGAUGUCAGUGAGCCGGUCAAAUGUGUGCUGGACAUUCUCAUUGUCAUUUCGCUUGAAGCGGUUGAAGAGGUUGCGAAGAACACUAAUUCUUUGAUCUCUCUGGGUUGAGACGCCUUCAUUGACCUUGGAGAGCCAGUCCUAGACCAGCUUGGAUGUCUUCAAGGCACUCACACGGCCAUACUGUCCUUUUGUCAGAUGGCCACAGAUGAUAUUUUUCGCAGUAGAGUCCAGUUGAGUGAACUUCUUGACAUCAGCAGCAGUGACACCUUCUCCAGCCUUGGGAACGCCGUUCUUGACGACAUACCAUAGGUCGACGUCAAUGGCUUCAAGAUGCAUGCGCAUCUUAUUCUUCCAAUAGGGAUAUUCAGUUCCAUCGAAGACGGGGCACACAGCGGAGACUUUGAUUAUCCCUGCAGUCGACAUAGCUAAAACUCCAGGUGGUUAAACCGAAUCACACAGAACAAGGGAGCACCUUGCUCUGAUAGCAAUUGAAAGUGCGUUAUAUCGACUAGAGGGGGGGGCUGAAUAGGCGAUUUUUAUGAAAGUCUUCAAAACAUGGGAGUUAUGAAGACAAACAGCGAAGAUUAUGCCUAUUACUAUGCAGCGGAAGUUAGAUUACACUAGGCCAGCCAUGGUCAAGUAUUCAAUAGAGUGAAAGCACAACGAUAAACAGCUGUAGUGUAAUAAGGAUCAGGUAGGAAGAAGUUAUGAAGCCAAACAGAUCAUACAUUCAUGUUGUGAAGACAAAAGAUAAAGCAAGCAUGCAAUGUCUUCACAAUGAGUAACAGUAAGAAAAGGAAGUGAAGAUGAAACCAGUGACUCGUUGAAGACAAUGAUAUGUUGGACCAGUUCCAGUUGCUGUGACAACUGUACGUCUGGUUGGAGCGGCCAGGUAUUUAAACCUUAGGACACACAGUCCCAGACACCCAGUCCUGAACACACAAUUCAGGACACCAAGUCCUCACCGUAUUCUCCUUGAGCUAAGGUCACUUAGUCCUCGCCCAAUCACUCUGGUAAGUCUUCAAGGUAGACUCCCAAACCUUCACAAACUUCGUUCACUGGCAAUCCACAAUGUCUCUUGGAUGCUCUGAACGCGACGCCUAACCGUCUGGAGGAUUCACAGUCCUCAAGUGUAAUAAGUCUUCAGAUCACACAGACAAGAAGACUUAAGUAAUGCCCAAUUUACUUUGGCUCUGGGUGGUUAGGGCUUUUCUCCUUGCUAGGAAUUUUCUCUCAAAGGCUUCGAGGUGGGUUGCUCUCAAACGACAAAAGCCGUCCACUGAAAUCUGAGAAGCCAACCAUUUGUGGUUGUGGAGGUGGGAUAUUUAUAGCCACUUGGCAGCCCGACCUGAUUUGUCCGAAAUGACCCUGGGUCACUAAGGAACUGACACGUGUCGCAACGGUCAGAUUUCAAACUCUCAUGGCAACUUUACUUGGGCUACAAGCAAAGCUGACUUGUCCGGCUCUGGACAAGAUUCGCUCUCAUUGUCUUCGCUCGAAGACAUAGGUUUUUGAUUUAGGCAUCACUUCAGUCAUUCUGACUGGUUCUCCUGGACCCCACUUAACAGUAUGGUGGUUCCUAUGACUCAACACAAAAGAAAAGGAACUACAAAAGAUCUAAGUCUUCGAGCUCCAUAGGCUUCAUAACGUGUCUUCCUUUGUCAUAGUCUUCAAUGUGAAUAUCUUCAUAUACCACCUUUGUCUUCAAUGUCUUCAUACAUUUUUAGGGGUCAUCUCUGGUAGUAAAACCGAAUCAAUGAGGGACUUCUACCUGUGUUUUCCUGCAAUUCUCACAAACACAUUAGUCCCUCAACUAGGUUUGUCGUCAAUAUUCCAAAACCAACUAGGGGUGGCAGAUGCACUUACAGUGGGCCCCACUGUCAUUGACUAAUUAAUUAGCUAAUUAACUAACUAGGUUAAUUAGAUAAGUAACGUUUAAUUAAUUUAGUUAUUUGAUUAGUUUAAUUAAUCAAAAUUAAUUAAGUUAAUUAUUUCUUUAAUUAUUUUUAUUUUAUUUUUUUAUCAUUUUCUCUUCUUCUUUUUUAAACGUUCAGGGGGCGUGGGGCCCGUUGUCAUUGGCCCCAGGGGGCUGAUGCGGGUUAACGGGCGCUGGGCGCCCGAUUGGGGGGGUAAACCCAGGCGCUGGCCUCGGGCACUGCUCGCCGGCGAGACAGAGCGCCACCAUGACGCGGGCGGCGGACGGCGCAGGGAACAGAGCAGGGCGGCGAGCGGGAGGGGCCGGAGCGGGGAAAUGGUGGAGGAGCAGCAGCAACAGAGGCAGUGGAGGGAGCCGGAGCGCGGGCGAGCAGAGGCAUGCGCGGCGGCAGCGCGCGCGGGAGGACGGAGGGACGGGCGCGGCCGUGCGCGACUGUGGCGAGGGCGCGGUGCAGCGGGGGGAAACGGGGCNNNNNNNNNNNNNNNNNNNNNNNNNNNNNNNNNNNNNNNNNNNNNNNNNNNNNNNNNNNNNNNNNNNNNNNNNNNNNNNNNNNNNNNNNNNNNNNNNNNNNNNNNNNNNNNNNNNNNNNNNNNNNNNNNNNNNNNNNNNNNNNNNNNNNNNNNNNNNNNNNNNNNNNNNNNNNNNNNNNNNNNNNNNNNNNNNNNNNNNNNNNNNNNNNNNNNNNNNNNNNNNNNNNNNNNNNNNNNNNNNNNNNNNNNNNNNNNNNNNNNNNNNNNNNNNNNNNNNNNNNNNNNNNNNNNNNNNNNNNNNNNNNNNNNNNNNNNNNNNNNNNNNNNNNNNNNNNNNNNNNNNNNNNNNNNNNNNNNNNNNNNNNNNNNNNNNNNNNNNNNNNNNNNNNNNNNNNNNNNNNNNNNNNNNNNNNNNNNNNNNNNNNNNNNNNNNNNNNNNNNNNNNNNNNNNNNNNNNNNNNNNNNNNNNNNNNNNNNNNNNNNNNNNNNNNNNNNNNNNNNNNNNNNNNNNNNNNNNNNNNNNNNNNNNNNNNNNNNNNNNNNNNNNNNNAGGGGGGGUGAGGGAGGAGAGGGGAACGUGCGAUGGGGACUGGGGGUUCGAUCUAGGUUACGGGGUGCGGGGAGGUUAAGUGGUGGGAGGCGGGCCGGUCGACUGGGCUAAAGCCCAGUGAGGGGGGAGGGGGUGUUCUCUUUUUUUUGUAUUGUGUUUUUCUUAAUUUUUCUUUUACUGUUUUUUUUCUUUUUAGUUUCUGUUUUCAAUCGAGUUUCCUUUUAUUUAUUUAUUUUUAGUUUUCUAAAAUAUAAACAUAGCCCUAAAAUUAGUAUUACUAUAUAGGCUACUGCCAUAACUAAUUUGGCACAAUAAUAAAAUAGGUUUGUAUUUGUUUAUUAUUUAAUGGUUUUAAUAAAAUGUUUUAGUCACUGUUUUAUUCACAAAAGAGCACUUAAAUACUUUUACAUAAAUUAUGGGUCAGCACCAUAAUUGGUUAUAGAAAUUUUGCCACAUUUUGAACAUUUUAUUUUGCAGGUUUGAGAAAUUUGAAUUUUGGACUUUAAUUGAUUUUGAAAUUUGAACCGGUUUCGAACCAACGCAAGUUAUCAAUAGUAAGCGUGGUGACGUGGCAUCAUUAACGGGGGAUUACUGUAGCCUAAUUAUCCGGGCGUCACAAUUCUCCUCCACUACAAGAAAUCUCAUUCCGAGAUUUAGGAGGGGAGUAAGGGGGAAAGACUAGGUUGCGCAAUUCUAAUGGGUCUUCUCGGUCUUUGUUGUACUUCCCGAAGUAGUUGAUCCUUUACGUUGAUGUCUCCAUUUCUCUACUUCAGGUCAUCUUGACGAAGUUGCAUCCUUUCUUCAGGGUCGGUCUCGUACUUACGAAUAGGUAAGGGGCAAUUCGACAAUGAUAGAGUGCUAUAAGGGUUAACCAUUGGGGGUUACCCAUGAAUGAACACAGGGGUAUCUCUCGAGUUGGUCAAAUGAAACACAUCGAGAGCCAAGCAAGAGGGUAUAGUAAGAAGUAUGAAGCGGAUAGGCAAUCGUUCGAUGCCCAAUUAGAAGGUGAAAGGGUUUCAGGGCACGAGAAUAAGUAUUGCGCCUAAUACCAGAGUAGAUCACUAGGAAGGUGACCUGUCAAUUACAUAUGUAGCCAGGCUCAAGGAAUAACUUUGGCAAUAGGGUGUACAGGAGAGUCAGGUUUCGAUCCCGUGGAACUGUGGGUUAUGGGCCCACCAUGUGGGUUAAAAGUAGGAAGGGCGGAGACGUCUUGCGUGAUCAUGCAAGAAAGGCAUGUCAGAGGGUAGCCUGUUGAUUAUGUCGGCAACAACAUCGAUACCAAGGGCGAGGGACGAAGAGAACCAUUUUCCUGCUCGUUGAACGAGGCGGACCAAUAGGCAAAGUUCUCGUCCAUCGGUGGUUACCGAAAUGUCAUCAACAAUGGUAACAGGGUCUUGCUGACAGAGUUGUACACCGAGGUGUUUACAUAAGCAAUAGAAUAAUACUGCUUAGAUUAUAUAGACCUCAAGAAAGGUUAAACCAAACAAUGGAAAGGACAUAUGAUUAUCAGAUUACUCAGGCGAUGGAAAGGAAAAAUGUGUUUUAGUCAUAUAAUUCAGGGAUAUAUCCUUCCCAAGGACAAGUAGAGCAUGAUAUCUAUGACAGGAUAUAAUGUAGAAAACUCUUUAGGUAAGGGGAGAGAAAUUUCAGGACAUUACCCAUACAGCGGUGUUUGGAUAAUUGAGCAGGGAACAUUUAACAUUAGGCUUUAAAUGUUCUUGUUGAAAAUUGGAGUACCAUAUAUAUAUGCUUCGAGAUAGCAUUGACAUGGUCUUCAGGCAAAGGUUAGACUUUGGAAACACAAUGGAUCCAUCAGGAAUAACUUGUAGAAUAAGUCUUACAAUUUCCUCAUGGAAGAAUGGAUAACCUUGCUGAAAAGGAAUCUAUAACCAUAGGGCCUCCGGCCAGGUGUGCUAAGCACGACAUCCUUGAUAUAAAAGAUGGUAAUAUUCCAAGGUAAAGAAGAACAAAUGUUGGGUAGCAAGGAACUCAAGGUACAACACAGAACACGAACAAGUUUGUGUUGGAGGGAAGGCAAUAAAGUUGUCGAUGAUAACACAAUUCAUCGAGGGGCAAGGAUGAUAUUUCUCAUCAUGACUUCGAUUGAUAUUCUAGAAGAGCUCAUAAGAUUGAUGAUGAUCACGACACAAUUGUUGAGAGAUUUCAUGAAGAUGGAAUCCAUCGGUGAUGACAUCAAGUCAAAAGAAUGAUGAAGCGAAAGGUUAUUGGAACCACGGGUAUGGCACAAACUCAAAACCAAGCUUGUGGUUUAAAGAGAAAUGAUAUGAUGAGGAAAAUCGACGUAAGCUUAGCUCAUCAUCGAAAAGUGUGCUCCGGGAAGAAGGACCAAGUAGCACAGUUAAGAGCAGCACGAUAAGGAAUAGCCGAGCAGGCUAGGAAUGACGUGAUCGAGUUCAAACUCGUAAGUAAUGAAGGUUACCAAGAGUUGUUUAAUCGCGGUGCGGACUUGAGUCAGUUAUCGGUGUCUUUGAGUGUUAACUAACUCAGAGCCCAUGAAAAAUUGGAAUCAAUGAGAAUGUAGCACUUGAUGAAGAACUCAUAAGAAGUUAUGCAGUCCCGUGAUAAUCUUGAGAUACCAGGGGGUAAUACUCGACGACAAAUCAAAGCAGAGGUUGGACUGGGGUAUUACUCCGUAGAAGACAAGUGCUUAAACUUGCCCAUGAAAUGGGGUCAAAGAAGAACAUAUGGUCGAAACCACGAUUGAAAAACGCCGGAUCCUAGAUAUAAGAACUUAUACUAAGGGGAAAAUUUAAUUUAAGAGCAGCUUUAACGGUAAGAUAUACAUCGUGUCCAUGGGCAUGAACACAAAGUUCAAGGUCGACUCCCACUUCUUCAAUGCAUAACCUUUCAUUCACUACUCUAGUUAAAAAUGAUUUCAGUGUCAAAACCUACCUGGUGAAUUACCAGAGGAGUAUGACCCGUGAAAACUUCCGGGUUCACAUAGAUUAAGAAAGGCAUAGGUUCAACCCGUCAGGGUAUCGUGGAAUCAUAUACCACAAGCUCCAAUCAUAAAUAACACAAGCUCGAAAGUAGAGCAUGGUUGACAAGGCAGAGGAUACAAUUUACCAAAGGUAUUAUAUAACGGUGGAAAGGCUCACAAGGUUAUUGAAAAUGAUGUCAGAUGAAAUCCAACAAUGGAUCUGACGAUCCACAACGGAGCUGAUGUGAGUAUCGGUACUCUACCAGAAGAAGAAAGAAUGCAAGGGGAUCAGCUGAUAAAAACAACUAACUAACUCAAAGCUCAAUGUAAGGAAAUUUUAUGAUUUCCAAAUCAAGGGAUCAGAAGCAAUCGUUCUGAUCGAAAAUGAAUAAGUUCAAUAGACUUAGAAGCACAAAUGAUCAAGGCAUUGAUUGGUCAAGAACCAACUCAUAUCCAAAUGACGUCUGAGCCGGAAGGAUGAAUCCUAGGAUUCGACUGAGGAAUGCGGGCAUCCUCAACAUAUUGAAUCAACGGACUUAAAAUGAUAAAGACAAGGGAGGCCAAUAAGAUUAAGAAACUUAUGGGAUUAACCAUAAUUCAAGCAAGCAAGAAUUUCAAGAGCAAUAGGCUGCUCGGGAUUUUUGGAAGAUCGAAUGAUAUUUUGAAGUCUUUGGCGAAAAACAUGAACAACUUGGAAUGAGCGGAUACUCGAUAAGUGCGAGAAUUAUCCGUAGGGGUAUUUAGGUGACAGAGAACAGCAAGGCAGUAAGCUCAAAGGAUUCUCGGAACAACAGAGAGAAUUUCGAGGUAUCCCGUAAUAACAAGAUCAGCUGGGAAGCGUCGUAUGAAAGGCGAGUAUACGUGGUUAUCCACAGGGGUUUAUCGGUGGAAGGGAAUUGCAAAAGCGACGCCAUAAAGUCUCAAGAGAACAUCGGAGAGUAUCUUAGGAUUCUUCUGGUGCAGCAGACGAUCAUCUGUAAUAAGGGGCUCUCCGGAGAAAGCAUUAUCGGGAACCUAGAGUCAGAGUUAGUAAAAUCGUUUAACCCGAAUAGAAGAGAUGUUAGAGUCCCAGAGUAUAGGUUGAGGAAUAAAAGAUCCUACUACCACCCAAUGGCGACGUGUGCCCGUAAGACACACAGCCAUGUUAGUAAAAGUUUUUCAAUGUCUAGACUCAACUUCGGCCAAGGAGUUGAAAAGGGGAUUCCUACAGGCAGUCGGCUCUGAUACCAACUUGUGACACCCCCGAUUUAAUCGUACACUAAUCAUACACGCAAACGUGUACGAUCAAGAUCAGGGAAUCACGUGAAGAUAUCACAACACAACUCUACAAAUAAAAUAAGUCAUACAAGCAUCAUAUUACAACCCAGGGGCCUCGAGGGCUCGAAUCCAAGAGCUCGAUCAUAGACGAGUCAGCGGAAGCAACAAAAUUUGAGUACAGACAUAAGUUAAACAAGUUUGCCUUAAGAAGGCUAGCACAAACUGGGAUACAGAUCGAAAGAGGUGCAGGCCUCCUGCCUGGGAUCCUCCUAAACUACUCCUGGUCAUCGUCAGCGGGCUGCACGUAGUAGUAGGCACCUCCAGUAUAGUAGGAGUCGCCAUCGACGGUGGCGUCUAGAUCCUGGGCUCCAACAUCUGGUCGCAGCAAUCGGGUAUAGGAAAGGGGAAAAGGGGGAGAAAAGCAACCGUGAGUACUCAUCCAAAGUACUCGCAAGCAAGGAGCUACACUACAAAUGUAUGCAUUGGUAUCAAAUGGAAAAGGGGGUAUCAUAUGUGGACUGAACUGCAGAAUGCCGGAAUAAGAGGGGGAUAGCUAGUCCUAUGGAAGACUAUGCUUCUGGUAACCUCCAUCUUGCAGCAGGAGAAGAGAGUAGAUGGUAAGUUCACCAAGUAGCAUCGCAUAGCAUAAUCCUAACCAAUGAUCCUCCCCUCAUCGCCCUAUGAGAGAGCGAUCACCGGGUUGUAUCUGGCACUUGGAAGGGUGUGUUUUAUUAAGUAUCCGGUUCUAGUUGUCAUAAGGUCAAGGUACAACUCCAAGUCGUCCUGUUACCGAAGAUCACGGCUAUUCGAAUAGAUUAACUUCCCUGCAGGGGUGCACCACAUAACCCAACAUGCUCGAUCCCAUUUGGCCGGACACACUUUUCUGGGUCAUGCCCGGCCUCGGAAGAUCAACACGUCGCAGCCCUACCUAGGCACAACAGAGAGGUCAGCACGCCGGUCUAAAUCCUAUGGCGCAGGGGUCUGGGCCCAUCGCCCUUUGCACACCUGCACAUUGCGAACGCGGCCGGAAGCAGACCUAGCCUAGCAGGCGUUUCAGUCCAAUCCGGCGCGCGCCGCUCAGUCGCUGACGUCACGAAGGCUUCGGCUGAUACCACGACGUCGAGUGCCCAUAAAUGUCCCCGCGUAGAUGGUUAGUGCGUAUAAGCCAGUAGCCAGACUCAGAUCAAAUACCAAAAUCUCGUCAAACGUGUUAUUCUGAAAUAACAACGGACACCGACCAGGGCCAGGCCCACCUCUCUCCUAGGUGGUCUCAACUUGCCCUGUCGCUCCGCCACAAAGUAACAGUCGGGGGCCUUCGGGAACUCAGGCCCACCUCUACCGGGAUGGAGCCGCCUGCCCUUCAGCCCCCUACAUCGGAAUCACUCGCGGGUACUCCUAUGAGCCGACCCGACUUUAACCACCACAAGUAUCAUAUAUUAUGUAUAAGUAUAUACCCGUGACCACCUCCCAAGUGAUCACGGCCCGAUAGUAUAGCAUGGUAGAUAGACAAGAAUGUAGGGCCACUGAUGGUAAACUAGCAUCAUAUACUAAGCAUUUAGGAUUGCAGGUAAGGUAUCAACAGCUGGAGCAACAAUGACAGGCUAUGCAUCGGAAUAGGAUUAACGGAAAGCAGUAACAUGCUACACUACUCUAAUGCAAGUAGUAGAGGGAAGAGUAUGCGAUAUCUGGUGAUCAAAGGGGGGGCUUGCCUGGUUGCUCUGGCAAGAGAGAGGGGUCGUCAACACCGUAGUCGUACUGGGUAGCAUCGGCGUCGGUCUCGGUGUCUAGCGAGAGAAGAGGGGGAAGAAACAAUAAAUAUAAUGCAAACAAAUGCAUGACGAUGCAUGACAUGACAAAGCGUGAUGCUAGGUGUGCCCUAACGCGGUACGAGGUGGUACCGGUGAAGGGGGGAAACAUCCGGGAAAUUAUCCCCGGUGUUUUGCGUUAUCGGAAAGAUGAAUCGGGNNNNNNNNNNNNNNNNNNNNNNNNNNNNNNNNNNNNNNNNNNNNNNNNNNNNNNNNNNNNNNNNNNNNNNNNNNNNNNNNNNNNNNNNNNNNNNNNNNNNNNNNNNNNNNNNNNNNNNNNNNNNNNNNNNNNNNNNNNNNNNNNNNNNNNNNNNNNNNNNNNNNNNNNNNNNNNNNNNNNNNNNNNNNNNNNNNNNNNNNNNNNNNNNNNNNNNNNNNNNNNNNNNNNNNNNNNNNNNNNNNNNNNNNUCGUUCUGAGCAACUUUCAUGUUGAAAAUAAUUUAAUCCGAGUUACGGAUUAAAAGAUAUGAUUUUCUAAAGAUUUACUAAUUUCUAAAAUUUAAUAACUAUUUAAUUUAAUUUGAAAAUGGAUUUAUGACAUUAGCAUGAUGUCAUGCUGACAUCAGCAGUCAACAGGGGUUGACUGGUCAACCUGACCAGUGGGUCCCACUGGUCAGUGACACAUUUUAAUUAAACAUAUCUAUUAACAUAAUCAGGAUUAAUUAGGGGUGGGCCCCACUAUCAUUGACUAAUUAAUUAGUUAAUUAACUAACAAGGUUAAUUAGAUAACUAACAUUUAAUUAAUUUAGUUAUUUGAUUAGUUUAAUUAAUUAAGUUAAUUAUUUUUAUUUUUAUUUUAUUUUUUAUCAUUUUCUCUUCUUCUUUUUUUAAACAUCCAGGGGGCGUGGGGCCCCCUGUCAUUGGCCCCAGGGGGCUGAUGCGGGUUAACGGGCGCUGGGCGCCCAAUUGGGGGGAGGGGAGGGGGGGUAAACCCGGGCGCUGGCCUCGGGCACUACUCGUCGGCGAGACAGAACGGUGCAGGGAACAGAGCAGCGCGGCGAGCAGGAGGGGCCGGAGCGGCGAAAUGGUGGAGGAGCAGCAGCAACAGAGGCAGCGGAGGGAGCCGGAGCGCGAGCGAGCAGAGGCAUGCGCGGCGGCAGCGCGCGCGAGAGGACGGAGGGAGGGGCGCGGCCGUGCGCGACCGUGGCGAGGGCGCGGUGCAGCGGGGGAAACGGGGCGGUGAGCGACCGGUGCAUGCGAGUCGCGUCAGCGUGGGGUGACAGGCACGUCUAGACGGAGCGGCGCGCGGCCAGGGCGCGGCCCNNNNNNNNNNNNNNNNNNNNNNNNNNNNNNNNNNNNNNNNNNNNNNNNNNNNNNNNNNNNNNNNNNNNNNNNNNNNNNNNNNNNNNNNNNNNNNNNNNNNNNNNNNNNNNNNNNNNNNNNNNNNNNNNNNNNNNNNNNNNNNNNNNNNNNNNNNNNNNNNNNNNNNNNNNNNNNNNNNNNNNNNNNNNNNNNNNNNNNNNNNNNNNNNNNNNNNNNNNNNNNNNNNNNNNNNNNNNNNNNNNNNNNNNNNNNNNNNNNNNNNNNNNNNNNNNNNNNNNNNNNNNNNNNNNNNNNNNNNNNNNNNNNNNNNNNNNNNNNNNNNNNNNNNNNNNNNNNNNNNNNNNNNNNNNNNNNNNNNNNNNNNNNNNNNNNNNNNNNNNNNNNNNNNNNNNNNNNNNNNNNNNNNNNNNNNNNNNNNNNNNNNNNACGGCAAGGUCGAUCCAGCGAUGGCAGCGGGUUCCGGGGCGCCGACAAGGAGCGACGGGGUGGCGCGCGACAUCGGCGUCGGCGGGGUCGGGGCGCGGCUGUCUCCAGAUCUAGAGGAGAGAGGAGAGAGGGGUGCGACGGGGUCGAGGCGGCAAAGGCGGGGCGACGUCGGGAGACGCCGACGGCGAGGUGGGCACCGGGGUCGGGGCCCGAUCCGGAUCGAGGGGGAGUGAGGGAGGAGAGGGGAACGUGCGAUGGGGAGUGGGGGUUCGAUCUAGGUUACGGGGUGCGGGGAGGUUAAGUGGUGGGAGGCGGGCCGGUCGACUGGGCUAAAGCCCAAUGAGGGGGGAGGGGUGUUCUUUUUUUUGUAUUGUGUUUUUCUUAAUUUUCUUUUACUGUUUUGUUUUCCUUUUAGUUUCUGUUUUCAAUCAAGUUUCCUUUUAUUUAUUUAUUUUUAGUUUUCCAAAAUAUAAACAUAGCCCUAAAAUUAGUAUUACUAUAUAGGCUACUUCCAUAACUAAUUUGGCACAAUAAUAAAAUAGGUUUGUAUUUGUUUAUUAUUUAAUGGUUUUAAUAAAAUGUUUUAGUCACUGUUUUAUUCACAAAAGAGCACUUAAAUACUUUUACAUAAAUGUUGGGUUAGCACCAUAAUUGGUUACAGAAAUUUUGCCACAUUUUGAACAUUUUAUUUUGCAGGUUUGAGAAAUUUGAAUUUUGGACUUUAAUUGAUUUUGAAAUUUGAACCGGUUUCGAACCAACGCAAUUUAUCAACAAUAAGCAUGGUGACGUGGCAUCAUUAACAGGGGAUUACUGUAGCCUAAUUAUCCAGGCGUCACAGCUGGGGAGUGAAGCGUCUUUGGUAGGUGGAAUUUGGUAAGGAAAAAUUUAUAUAGUGUGCUGAAAUUUACUGUCACUUGUUACUAUGGAACAUAAUCCUUUGAGGGGCUUGUUCGGGGUAUCUUCACCCUGACUAGUAGAGCAAAGAGUUGCUCCUCAACCUACUGAACCUACUGAAAAUGUUUACUUUGAAAUUACUUCGGGUAUGAUAGAGAAACUGCUAGCUAAUCCUUUUGCAGGAGAUGGAACAUUGCAUCCCGAUUUACACUUAAUCUAUGUGGAUGAAGUUUGUGGAUUAUUUAAGCUUGCAGGUAUGCCCGAUGAUGUUAUCAAGAAGAAGGUCUUCCCUUUAUCUUUGAAGGUAGAUGCAUUGACAUGGUUUAGGCUAUGUGAUGACAUUGGAUCAUGGAAUUACAAACGAUUGAAAUUGGAAUUUCAUCAGAAGUUUUAUCCUAUGCAUCUUGUUCAUCGUGAUCGUAAUUAUAUAUAUAAUUUUUGGCCUCGCGAAGGAGAAAGCAUCGCUCAAGCUUGGGGAGGCUUAAGUCAAUGUCAUAUUCAUGCCCCAAUCAUGAGCUCUCAAAAGAAAUGAUUAUUCAAAAAAAUUAUGCUCGGCUUUCUCUUAGUAAUCGCUCCAUGCUCGAUACUUCUUGUACUGGAUCUUUUAUGAUGAAGACUAUUGAAUUCAAAUGGGAUUUAUUGGAAAUAAUUAAACGCAACUCUGAAGAUUGGAACCUCGACGAAGGUAAGGAGUCAGGUAUAACACCUAAGUUUGAUUGUGUUAAAUCUUUCAUGGAUACCGAUGUUUUCCGUGAAUUUAGCACUAAAUAUGGACUUGAUUCUGAGAUAGUAGCUUCUUUCUGUGAAUCCUUUGCUACUCAUGUUGAUCUCCCUAAGGAGAAGUGGUUUAAAUAUAAUCCCCCCAUUGAAGUAAAAUUAGUUGCACCUAUUAAAGUUGAAGAAAAGACUAUUACUUAUAAUGAUCCUGUUGUUCCUACUGCUUAUAUUGAGAAACCACCUUUCCCUGUUAGAAUAAAGGAUCAUGCUAAAGCUUCAGCUGUGGUCAACAAAAGUAAUAUUAUGACACCCAAACCCCCUGAGCAAAUUAAAGUUGAACCUAGUGUUGCCAUGGUUAAAUAUCUCUUGGCCGAUAAUAUCGAUGGGCAUGUUAUUUACUUCUGUGAUGAAGGUGCUAGAAUUGCUAGACCUGAUACUAAAAAUAAACAUAGACCUGUUGUAGGUAUGCCUGUUAUUUAUGUUAAAAUAGGAGAUCAUUGCUAUCAUGGCUUAUGUGAUAUGGGUGCUAGUGCAAGUGCAAUACCUCAUUCCUUAUACAAAGAAAUUAUGCAUGAUAUUGCACCUGCUGAGAUAGAAGAGAUUGAUGUUACAAUCAAGCUUGCCAAUAGAGAUACUAUUUCACCAGUUGGGAUUGUUAGAGAUGUUGAAGUCUUGUGUGGGAAAGUUAAAUACCCUACUGAUUUUCUUGUUCUUAGUUCCCCACAAGAUAACUUUUGUCCCAUUACAUUUGGUAGACCCUUCUUGAAUACUGUUAAUGCUAAGAUAGACUGCAAUAAGGAUAUUGUUUCUGUUGGUUUGGGGGAUAUGUCCCAUGAUUUUAAUUUUGAUAAAUUUUGUAGACAACCCCAUGAUAAAGAAUUGCCUAGUAAAGGUGAAAUUAUUGGUCUUGCUUCUAUUGCCGUGCCUCCUACUGAUCCUUUAGAACAAUAUUUGCUAGAACAUGAAAAUGAUAUGUUUAUGAAUGAAAGAAGGGAAAUAGAUGAAGUAUUCUUUAAACAGGGACCUAUUCUGAAACACAACUUGCCUGUUGAAAUCCUAGGGGAUCCCCCUCCACCUAAGGGCGAUCCUGUGUUUGAGCUUAAACCUUUACCUGAUACUCUCAAAUAUGCUUAUCUUGAUGAGAAAGAGAUAUGUCCUGAUAUUAUUAGUGCUAACCUUUCAGAGCAUGAAGAAAAGAAAUUAUUGAAAACUCCGAGGAAGCACUGUGCUGCUAUUGGAUAUACUCUUGAUGAUCUUAAGGGCAUUAGUCCCACUCUAUGCCAGCACAAAAUAAAAUUGGAGAAGGAUGCUUAACCGGUUGUUGAUCACCAAUGAUGGUUAAAUCCUAAGAUGAAAGAAGUGGUAAGAAAAGAAAUACUAAAGCUUCUUGAGGCAGGUAUAAUUUAUACCAUUGCUGAUAGUUAGUGGGUAAGUCAUGUCCAUUGUGUCCCUAAGAAGGGAGGUAUUACUGUUGUUCCUAAUGAUAAAGAUGAAUUGAUCCCACAAAGAAUUGUUAUAGGUUAUAGAAUGGUAAUUGAUUUCUGCAAAUUAAAUAAAGCCACUAAAAAUGAUCAUUACCCCUUACCUUUUAUUAAUCAAAUGCUAGAAAGAUUAUCCAAGCAUACACAUUUUUGCUUUCUAGAUGGUUAUUCUGGUUUAUCUCAAAUACCUGUGUCAAAAGAGGAUCAAGAAAAGACAACUUUUACUUGCCCUUUCGGUACCUUUGCUUAUAGACGUAUGACUUUUGGUUUAUGUAGUGCACGUGCUACUUUUCAAAGAUGUAUGACUGCUAUAUUCUCUGACUUUUGUGAAAAGAUUGUUGAGGUUUUCAUGGAUGAUUUCUCCGUUUACGGAACUUCUUUUGAUGAUUGCUUAAGCAACCUUGAUCGAGUUUUGCAGAGAUGUGAAGAAACUAAUCUUGUCUUGAAUUGGGAGAAGUGCCACUUUAUGGUUAAUGAAGGUAUUGUCUUGGGGCAUAAAAUUUCUUAAAGAGGCAUUGAAGUUGAUAAAGCUAAAGUUGAUGCUAUUGAAAAGAUGCCAUGUCCUAAGGACAUUAAAGGUAUAAGAAGUUUCCUUGGUCAUGCCGGUUUUUAUAGGAGGUUCAUUAAAUACUUCUCUAAAAUCUCUCGGCCUCUGACUAAUCUCUUACAAAAAGAUGUCCCUUUUGUCUUUGAUGAUGACUGUGUAGAAGCAUUUGAAAUACUUAAGAAAGCUUUGGUUUCUGCACCUAUUAUUCAACCUCCUGAUUGGAAUUUACCAUUUGAAAUUAUGUGUGAUGCUAGUGAUUAUGCUGUAGGGGCUAUUCUAGGACAAAGAGUUGAUAAGAAAUUAAAUGUUAUCCAAUAUGCUAGUAAAACUCUAGACAGUGCCCAAAGAAAUUAUGCUACUACUGAAAAAGAAUUUUUAACAGUUGUAUUUGCUUGUGAUAAGUUCAUACCUUAUAUUGUUGAUUCUAAAGUAACUGUUCACACUGAUCAUGCCGCUAUUAAAUAUCUUAUGGAAAAGAAAGAUGCUAAACCUAGACUUAUUAGAUGGGUUCUGUUGCUACAAGAAUUUGAUUUGCAUAUUAUUGAUAGAAAGGGAGCUGAGAAUCCCGUUGCAGACAACUAGUCUAGGUUAGAGAAUGUUCUUGAUGACCCACUACCUAUUCAUGAUAGCUUUCCUGAUGAACAAUUAGCUGACAUAAAUGCUUCUUGCACUACUCCAUGGUAUGCUGAUUAUGCUAAUUACAUACCACCUAGUGAUACGUCUCCAACGUAUCUAUAAUUUUUGAUUGUUCCAUGCUAUUAUAUUAUCAACCUUGGAUGUUUUAUAUGCAUUUAUAUGCUAUGAUUUUUGGGACUAACCUAUUAUCCUAGAGCCCAGUGCCAGUUUCUAUUUUUUCCUUGUUUUAGAGUAUCACAGAAAAAGAAAAUCAAACGGAGUCCAAUUGACCUGAAACUUCACGGAACUUAUUUUUGGACCAAAAGAAGCCCACGGAGUAUCGAGGAUGGAUCAGGAGAGUCCCGGGCUGCCCGCGAGGGUGGGGGGCGCGCCCACCCCCCUGGGCGCGCCCCCUGCCACGUGGACAACCCGGAGAUCCACCGACGUACUUCUUCCUCCUAUAUAUACCCAUAUACCCUAAAAACUUCGGAGAGCAGAAUAGAUCGGGAGUUCUGCCUCCGCAAGCCUCUGUAGCCACCAAAAACCAAUCGGGACCCUGUUCCGGCACCCUGCCGGAGGGGCGAACCCUCACCGAUGGGCAUCUUCAUCAUCCUGGCGCUCUCCAUGAUGAGGAGGGAGUAGUUCACCUUCGGGGCUGAGGGUAUGUACCAGUAGCUAUGUCUUUGAUCUCUCUCUCGUGUUCUUGAGGUGAUACGAUCUUGAUGUAUCGCGAGCUUUGCUAUUAUAGUUGGAUAUUAUGAUGUUUCUCCCCCUCUACUCUCUUGUGAUGAAUUGAGUUUUCCCUUUGAAGUUAUCUUAUCGGAUUGAGUCUUUAAGGAUUUGAGAACACUUGAUGUAUGUCUUGCGUGGGAUACCCGUGGUGACAAUGGGGUAUUCUAUUGAUCCACUUGAUGUAUGUUUUGGUGAUCAACUUGCGGGUUCCGCCCAUGAACCUAUGCAUAGGGGUUGCCACACGUUUUUUGGGGCACUCUUUGAAGUACUUUGUGUUGGUUUGAAUAGAUGAAUCUGAGAUUGUGUGAUGCAUAUCGUAUAAUCAUACCCACAGAUACUUGAGGUGACAUUGGAGUAUCUAGGUGACAUUAGGGAUUUGGUUGAUUUGUGUCUUAAGGUGUUAUUCUAGUACGAACUCUAUGAUAGAUUGAACGGAAAGAAUAGCUUCAUGUUAUUUUACUACGGACUCUUGAACAGAUCGAUUAGAAAGGAUAACUUCAAGGUGGUUUCGUACCCUACCAUAAUCUCUUCGUUUGUUCUCCUCUAUUAGUGACUUUGGAGUGACUCUUUGUUGCAUGUUGAGGGAUAGUUAUAUGAUCCAAUUAUGUUAUUAUUGUUGAGGGAACUUGCACUAGUGAAAGUAUGAACCCUAGGCCUUGUUCCAACGCAUUGCAAUACCAUUUACGCUCACUUUUAUCAUUAGUUACCUUGCUGUUUUUAUAUUUUCAGAUUACAAAAACCUAUAUCUACCAUCCAUAUUGCACUUGUAUCACCAUCUCUUCGCCGAACUAGUGCACCUAUACAAUUUACCAUUGUAUUAUGUGUGUUGGGGACACAAGAGAAUCUUUGUUAUUUGGUUGUAGGGUUGCUUGAGAGAGACCAUCUUCAUCCUAUGGCUCCCACAGAUUGAUAAACCUUAGGUCAUCCACUUGAGAUAAAUUUGCUACUGUCCUACAAACCUCUACACUUGGAGGCCCAACAACGUCUACAAGAAGAAGGUUGUGUAGUAGACAUCAAGCUCUUUUCUGGCGCCGUUUCCGGGGAGGUUAGCGCUUGAAGGUAUAUCUUUAGAUCUUGCAAUCAAAUAUUUUUGCUUCUUGUUUUAGCACUAGUUUAGUUUAUAAAAGAAAGCUAAAAAAAUGGAAUUGAGUUUAUCUCAUAGGCUUCAUCUUUUUAAUAUCUUUCGUGAGUAUGAUGGGAAGGGAAAUUGUGCCAAAGUGUUAGAAGAAUAAUGCAUUAAAAUGUUUGGCACUAAAUCGUUGAAUGAUGAGAAUGAUUGCAAUGUUGUUAGUAUGAACUCCUUGAAUAUCCAUAGUACUAAUGAUGAUUGCACUAGUUAUGAUGAAAAUGUCUCCUGUAAACAUGUCAAUUUUUGUGGAGUGCAUUGGGUUUGCAAGUACACACCAAAUAGGGAAGAUAGAUAUUGCAAGAGGCAUAAGCAUUUAGAAACUAAAUGGUUGCAAGAAAGGCUAAAUGUUAGUGCUGAAAAUUUAAAAUUUCUUAGCCAUACUUGUGAACUUUGCAAUGAACAUGGUCAUUUAAAUAUCAAAUGCAAAUUGUUUCAUGAUCAAAUCGUGUCCGAAAAUUGUGAUGACUUGAUUUCCCUUGCACAUCAUAAUGAACUUAGUUUGCUUUUUGGGUUAUUAAGAAAUGAAACAUCAAACUAAGAUUAUUCCAGAAUAUAAUCUCGAGAAAUUCCUCGAUAUUGAUCUAGAAGAAAUUUAUAUGUAUCGUGCGGUGAACUGCAUUGAAAAUCCUUAUAUUGCCAAUUACAUAAAGAAAAUAAAACAAAUAGAAGAUGAAGAUAAUACUAAUGAAAGGUAAGAGACUUCCCAAUAUCCUCCUAUUAUUUCUUAUGAUGAAUCAGGUAACGAGGAGGAGCCUUCUAUUCAACCAAUCUCAUUAAUAAGGAGCUCCAAAAAGAGGAUUGAACCCACACAUGAUGUGAAGAAGAAAAAGAAAAGACGGAGAAGCAAAGGUAGAAAGGUAUCCCUCCCAAAUGAUGUUGCUCCUACUACUCAUUGUGAUGAUGAUAAUUGCUAUACUAUCGGUGCUAUCCAUACUAUUAAUGAUGAGAGUGACUAUGCUUAUGAUAUGAAAAGGCCCAAGCUUUGGGAUGCUAUGUUUGAUGAAGAUGAUGUUUUUGAGAAUGUAUUUUAUGCAAUUAAUGUUAGUCCCAAGCUUGGGGAAGCUAUGUUUAAAGAAGAUGAUAAUUGUAACCUCCCAAGUUUUGAUAUGCAAAUUUAUUAUGAUGAUAGCAUGCCUCCUACUUAUGAGGAUUAUAUUGAUGAAAGUGGGUUUGGAAGAGUGUCAACUUUAGGAAGUAAUGAUCCCACUAUUUUGGAG